CUCCUGAAGACUUUCUCUAAUGGGCCACCAGUGCUUGAUGGGCUGGGGGGGGGGUUAUUCUCAUAUGAAAUUUCUACAGCAUCACUUCUAUAGUUUUACUUCAUUCUUCCAGGGAAAAUAUAUUUUACCUCAAGACAAGUUCAUCAGAUAUGGAUGAAAACCCUUUUGUAUUCCAUUAUAUCUUCAACACUUCCCCUGUUGUGAUCCAUACAUCUUUUUUUUUAAACUCCCAGGGAGUUAGAUACCAGGGCAUUAUUAGUUUAUAUUGAUUGUUGAAGAAAUGUAUAUCUGGCGAUAAUGAUUUACCAUUCAGUUGUUAAGUAAUUCCUCUGUGUAUCCAAUCCUCAACUGGUCUACUGUUAUCCUUCCCCCACAUUUUUUUCUUAUAUGGUAUACACAACUGAUCAGUUAUUAAAUUUAUAACCUGCCAUAAUUCAAAACAUUUAAAGGUAUCUAAAAACAUGUAAAUUUAAUAACAAAUGGGAAUCCUUUAGGUCUUUUCUGUGAUGUAGUUCACACCUCAUGCCCAGGACUGUCCCACCCAUGUGGCUCAGUGAGGUGCUGUAGAUAUGGAGGCCCCAGGAGUACACCACUCAAUGCCUCCUGUGUUUGUCGCCCGCUGCCGCCUCAACCAUGCUGCUGCCCCCUUGUUCUUCUCCAGCCUCUUUUUUUCCUCCCCCACCACCUUCAGUGCUUCCCUGGGCCGCCUCUAGUCACCUCAGGCAGUGACGGUGGGAGCAGAGGACACCCCCCUGGCAUUUUCUGUUUCACUUCAUGUGGCAAAAUGUCCUGGGCCGGCCUUGUUCAUACCAUGUAUCCAACUAAGUUCUACUUAGAGUAGAUGCAUUGAAAUUGGUGAAUCUAAGUUAGGCAUGCCUAGUAGUGUCAGUAGGUCUACUCUGAAUUAUUCUUUCAGUGAUGAUAAAUGGGGCUUUUGGGUGUGUGUUUUUACUACAAUAUUGUUUUUGAUAUUGAAGAAAGUGAUGUGUCAUGUCUGAAGUCCAAGAGCUUUCUUAAGUUGCUCAAAAAGAUGGACACCAGGAACAAACGAUGAAAGCGGCAAGGAGUGGAAUAAAAGAGGCGAGGUAAAGGCACAAAUGCAAGUACUAUGAAUGCAGUAAGACAAACUUCAGCUUCCUUACAAAUGAGGAUUAAUGGGAUUGAGCCAACUGCUGCGUGGAAAAAUUGUUUGGAGAGUGCUUUUCAGUAGGAGAGGGGCAACAUUGCAUCUCAGAUGCUCUGAGAAGGAGUUUGGAAUUUGUAACAGAAUAUAUGGGGGGAGCCUUUAAUGAGAACAGGAGACAUUUUGGUAGCUGAAGGUGGUGAAGAUGGAGGUGCCAAAUCACCAUGAAGGAGGAAAGGUCUUGGGGAAAGGGCAAAGAAAUAGGAUAGGACAAGGCUGCGGAGGCAAGCUGGUGUUUGAUUGGGAAAGACUCGGACAAAAGCAAUGUAAGGAAUUGAAGGAUUGUGUCCCUUGCUGUGUGCAAGAAGAGGUGAAUGAUUAUGACAGCAGAGUUCUGUAUAAUGUUGAGAAAGUGGAACAGGAUAUACCAGAAGGAAGCCUCAAGUAUAAUUCCGAAUGUCUUACAGAUAACUUGUUAAUGAAAGCAAGAACUCUUUCUUAUGCUUGUUGAAUUCUCACUACACUAAUCUGUAUUAAGUUCUCUUCUAGAUCUAUUUAUUGUGUUAUCUGAAAUCCUGGCUAUGCUUUUAUCAUUCAGAGGUCCAGUUUAUUUAUAGUAUUGCAUAUGUCUGGCAGCGAUGUGUCAUUUGCAUACGAUGCUAUUUUUACCAUUUUUUACCCUGCUCUUGUACUUUAUAUUCCUAGCUUCAUUGUGAAUCAAUGCUGCUAACAUUUCAUUAUACAGAAUUAGAAACACUGGGACAUCUUUCCCGGAUAUCUCUGCCUUACAAAACUUCAUGAGAUAAUAAUAAUCUGUUAGCAGUUGACUCUCAACUGCAGACUUUUCUGUUUCACUCAGGUAUUCCACUGUGGCCUCCGGAGAGCAAUCUUCAAAGGCAGGAGCUAUUUGCACUGAGUAUACACACACACUCACAUGUGGUUUUGGAGAUUACUGAAGCUAGGUGGAGUAUUCUCUGGAGGUUGUUCACACUGACUUUGACUGCUCUGUUAACCCAUGGAACAGCAAGUUGGUAAGGGAAUCGAUAUAGAUGCCUCCAGGUCUGUUCUCCUUCCUCUUCCUUCUGCACAUUCCCUUGUGGUUUAUGAAGGACCUAAGGUGGAUGAAGCAUGAAAAAUGGGGGAAACAGCUGGAAAAUGGCUUGUUGAAUCUGGGUUGUUUCUGCUUUAAGAAUGAGCCAGUUAUGAGUUUGCAACUUGCUUGAAUUAGUUGUGAUCUGCAUUUGUUCUCAUGUGCAAUCCUAGGCUUAACAUAGGGGGAGAAGUUGUCAAUCUAUUGCCACUUUCUGCCAUCAUUCUACAAAUAUCCCCUAUAAGUGCAGUCUAUUAUAGAAAAAGCUACAGAGACCGUCAGUAAUAAAUCUGGAUAAAUAUUUUCACAGUUUCUUUUAAAGCACAUUAUGAGGCACUUUUCAUACAAAAGCAUCACUUUUUUUUUAGUCGCCCAUUUGUAUCAAUUUAUAUAAAAGUGGUGCCGAUUCUCGUGUGUCAUCACAAAAGGAUACAAAUAUCUUGUUCUCUCAGCGAAAGUUGAUCUGCACUUUGUAUCAUUCAUUACCUUGUUUUUACUGUUGUAAAAUAUGCAUGACGAUAUCUGGAGGAUAUUUACUCGGAAGUAAGACCCACUGCCUAGUAAGUGUAUGUAUGCAUGGUUGCAGCCCUAGGCAAAUUAAGAAGUGGUGAUGAGAUGCAAUGAUCACUUCUCGCAAUGUUUAUCUUGGGAAACGCUGAGGAAAUCUGCCUUACCUUGCAAACCUGAGCAACCUCCAUUCACCUUCUGGAAAUCAUAAAUACGCUAUGCAAGCUACAAAGCCCUGAAAACGGAUUACAGCAUUUGCAGAACCAGCUUAGUUUCAGUGAAUGUGGUUUAAUAUGUCUGCUUUAAAUACAAAUAUUCCCUGUGUUGUAGAAGAGGCUUGUGGAUAUCCACUUGUCUGGUUGCCUGUGGGAAGUAAGAAGUGUUGUGUGUGUGUGUAUAUGUGUGUGUGGAGGAAGGGGGUGUGGUGGGGGUGGGCUGCCCCGGGUGUCACCACUGAGGGGGGUGACAAAAUGCCAGGCGGCACUCACCGCAGGGCCUGCAGUGCACCCAAGCCACAUGUCUUUCCUGGGAGAGACACGGUGGCUUGGGCACGCACAGGCUCCAUGUUGCCCAAACGGUCUGCCCGCUGCCUCGCCCCCAGCUGUAGGGCAGCUGAGUGGGAGGAGGCAGGCAGACUCUGGAGGCUCCAUGGUGCGCCCUGCCCUUGCCCCACCCCUAUGGGUGGCUCACCCUGCCCUCGCCCCAGGGCAUGCUCCCCAGGCGCCUGAGCGGCUUCCUCCGCUGCUAUGUGUUUAAAAACACAAAGAGGUAGGUACGUUGGCCCAUGAGAAAAAAAGUCCACAACACAUACUAGGGCAGUACAGUGGUACCUUGGGUUAAGUACUUAAUUCGUUCCAGAGGUCCGUACUUAGCCUGAAACUGUUCUUAACCUGAAGAAACACUUUAGCUAAUGGGGCCUCCUGCUGCUGCCGCGCCCCCGGAGCACGAUUUCAGUUCUCAUCCUGAAGCAAAGUUCUUAACCUGAAGCACUAUUUCUGGGUUACCUGAAGUGUAUGUAACCUGAAGCGUAUGUAACCCGAGGUACCACUGUACCUUUAUUAGGCCAAGCCAAAUGUUACAAAGUAGUAUGAAGCGUUUGGUAUUCUCUGUAACAUUUUGUCAGAAGAUUGUAAACAGCAAGGGGGUGGAGAUGGGAAGAAAAGUUGGAUGUUGAAGCCCUGGAGUCUGUGCUUAGUAACAUCAGCUGCAAUGUGGGAUGAGGUACCAGACAGACGCACGAGGCUGUUACGUACUAUUAUAGAACGUACAUCCAGGCGUCCUUUGUGAACUGUUCCAUUGUUUAAUGUGUGUCAGCUUCCACUUACAGCAGAGCUUCUAGAAUGAUUUCCAUUCCAAAGAGCUGCAGGCAAAUCCGAGGAACUAUAUACCUCUGCAAAUGGAACCUGCUUUGCUGUAGUGCGAAAUCAAACUUCUUGGUCAGCCUGAACCUAGGCACGUUCACUUGAAACGUUGAAGUUUGAACUAAAAGUUCAGUGGGCCUUAAGAAUAAAAGUGUGUGUCGGAAUGUGUUCACGUUACCGCCUUAGAGCACAGUGAAGGGUUGUUGGUUUUUGGUGCAUUUCACAGCUCCUUCCCCUCUAGCUGUUCACAUCAACACAACUUCAUUAGUGUUGGGUUCGUUUCUGUUUGUGUACACACCAGUGGGUGUUCACGGGGCAGGAAUGUCUUCACCUUCUGUAAAGGGGUUCAGGCCUCGGCCGGAGACAAACUGGAAAUGGCUUAAGGACACCCGAUCGAUAUGAAGCUGGUUUGAGAAACAAUUCAUCACAACAAAAUACGGGAUGCAUAUACAUUUUAGACAACGUUGCUUAAGCACAGAUUAAAAACCCAGCCCUGGAAACUGAGCGAGUGCAUGGUAAACAGAAGUGUGAAUAGAGCGGAGGACUGCAGCUUUUGUUAAUGCUGGCUAAAAUCCGAUAUACAGUUACCUGGUUGUAAGCGCUACUGAACACAAGCUUCUGAAUGGAUAGGAUUGUGCUGUUAAUUGCUUCAUGGUCUGUUUAGCUUUCAGAGUUCACUAAGAAAGCUCUUACCUGGAAUUACUGACAUAUCUUGCUAGAAGGUCCGCAGCAGAUAGGAUUGGGGCGUUGGCGGGGUAGGGGAUGACCUGGGUCAUCUAUUGCAACCUUUCUCUUCAAGCAGGAUUACCCUGCCGCUUUGCAAGUGAUAACCUUGUAUAUACAUGAAAGGAUUUGCUGUUUUAUGUUGCUGUAAACUCGUGUUCCAUUUGUCAUCUGCUGUCUUCCAAAUCCUCUUCUGCAUAUUCAUUACAUAGUCUGGGUUUGUUUGGGGGGUUUUUUGUAUUCUGCCAGGCACUUGGGAAUUUUUCUGCUAAAUACUGUAGAUAAUACCAUACAGUAAGAUAAAUAAAAUGGGUUGCUUCCAGUAUUUAGUCAUUUUAAAGGAAAGCUUAAGUUUCCCAAUCAGCCUUCUCGGUAGCCUCAUAUUUCUUUUUCGCAGCUGAAAUAUCAUCUUGGCUAUGAGUCCUGGAAGACUUUUACACCUGGCCUUGGUGGGCAGAGCCCUGACUGACUCCAGCUACAAAAGCUGAGGCUACUGAACAGGCUCUUGGGAUGGUGCAUUGUUUAGGAGUUUUCGUUGGGACAGGGGUUGUUGCUCUUGUUUUUUUGUAUCUGUUUUAGAUCUUGUUGUGAUUUAUGUGGAAACUGUUUGGUUGUGUAUUUUUUAAUGUUUUAUUUAUUUAUAACUACUUUCGUUAUGUUGUAGUUAUGUAUUUUUUAUGUUGUAAGCUGCCUUGAGCAUGGUUUGAACUGUGGAAAGGGGACAUACAUAUAAAAUUAUGUAUGUAUGCAUGCAUGCAUGUUUGUAUGUAUGUAUGUAGAGCCACCAUGUAGGAAGUGGCCAAUUGUGCAAGAGAUGGGUGGGUUAUCCUUUGGUCAACUCAGUAUUUUGUGGGAAAGAUUCAGUUGCAUACCAGAAAUUGAGGUUUGCGCAAUUAAUAUGGAUUAAAGUAUUCUGUUGCUCUGGCACAACACUUCCACCUUAAAAACAAACAAACCCAAAACUUUUUGUAGGUAGGGAAGUGACAGGGAAAUACACAAAAAAUGAGGAAUAAACCAUUGAUUAUCAUGAAAACAUAUAGCCAUGCAAACAAAUCAAGAUGAAAUCAGAAUGGAAGCUCAUUGUCAUAUAGGUAAAGGGUAAAGGGACCCCUGACCAUUAGGUCCAGUCGUGGCCGACUCUGGGGUUGCAGCGCUUAUCUCGCUUUACUGGCUGAGGGAGCCAGCGUACAGCUUCCGGGUCAUGUGGCCAGCAUGACUAAGCCACUUCUGGUGAACCAGAGCACUGCACGGAAACGCUGUUUACCUUCCCGCCAGAGCGGUACCUAUUUAUCUACUUGCACUUCGUGCUUUUGAACUGCUAGGUGGGCAGGAGCUGGGACCGAGCAACGGGAGCUCACCCCAUCGCGGGGAUUUGAACUGCUGACCUUCUGAUCGGCAAGCCCUAGGCUCUGUGGUUUAGACCACAGUGCCACCCGUUGUCAACACCCGCUACCCAUUGUCAUAUAACCACCCCGCAAAUAGGACUACCUGUAAGUGUUCAGUAUAGAUGAGACAUUGUGUAACCUCACAUAAGCUUUGUGCAUGGAAAUAAUGUUGAAUGUGCAAUAAACAGGCCAUCUGGAGGAGUCUCUUUUAGUUAGAUCAGGUUUAUAAAAAUUGAAAUCACACUUUGGACCUUAGGAAUUGUAUUCAAUGCUGUACGAGUGCUUUGUGUUCUUUGGAAGAGCAAUGGGGUAUAUGUGAAACUGAGUUUGUGCAGUGGUGGUUCUGUUGUAUGGGACUUCAGUGAUCAUGCAGACAUGCGAGUCUUCUCUUAUUUCCCAUAAUCAUUUCUGCUGUCUUCAUUUGCGACCAUGAAGUGUUGAAAAAAUGUACCAAAAGCAACAAGCUCCUGAAAUAUGGCUAAUGAUCUUUGGCUACUGAGACGCUCCAAUUCCUGGGUUAAAGAGCUGAUUUUUGCAUGGUUAGGGAUUAGUCUCAGAAAAGCUUGUUUACAAACCGUGUUAGACUGAAGCAGAAGUGGUUCCGGGGUCAAAACCUUGUAGCAGACCUUCAAAGCAGGUCCAUGAAGAUCAGGCUCUUGAGUUGGUACAGGAAAUUCAUGGGUGAGUUAUACUUGGGAUACGCAAUAAACUGUCAUUAAAGUGUGCAUUACAGUGGUACCUCUGGUUACGUACUUAAUUCGUUCCGGAGGUCCGUUCUUAACCUGAAACUGUUCUUAACCUGAAGCACCACUUUAGCUAAUGGGGCCUCCUGAUGCUGCCGCGGUGCUGGAGCACAAUUUCUGUUUUCAUCCUGGAGCAAAGUUCUUAACCUGAGGUACUAUUUCUGGGUUAGCGGAGUCUGUAACCUGAAGCGUAUGUAACCUGAAGCGUAUGUAACCCGAGGUACCACUGUAAUUGCUCCAAUUCCCUUCACCAAUGCUACUUAUGACCCUCAGUCACCUGUUCCCUCUGGUUCUUAGUGCGCUGCCACUGUAGCUUUCAAUUCUCCACCAGAGCUUUCCAAACUGUGUGUCAUGAUGAAUGCUCCCCAUGCUCUUCCAGGGGCUGUAAAGGGGUUAGUUUAACCUCAGGUUUGCUAGUAAAACCAAAUUACUGUGUUGCGAAAGGAUGCAUGUCUAAAAAGUGUGUCACCAACAUGAAAAGUUUGGAAAGCUCUGACCUAGGCCUUUUCCCCACAUUCCACUGCUUGCCCUCCCAAAAUAGCUUUGAAAGAAAGCAGCAGCCCAUGCUGUCAACCUAGCCACCCCUGAAAUCCAAGUCUGCCUUCUGCCUGAUCAAAGGCCGCCACCACCUACUCUAUGCCCUUCCCCUUCGGCUACAAAUGCUGGCAGGUUGCAAAUUCCAUUCUCUCUACACACCUUGAACACCCUCACUGCUAAUUUAAAUGUCAUGGGACGGGAGCGAGGGGCAAGGAAAACGUAAAUGCAUGUGAUGCUUCAGCCUCACUGUCCCAAGUAAGGGUGUCAGGUUCUGGCUUGGAUGAUGAUUUAGUAAUAAUAAUAAUAAUAAUAAUAAAUUGAAUUAAUUAUUAAAUUUGUGUAGAGAGGUGUAGUGGGCUGCACUAGGGACUCCAAAGGAACUCCAGGCAUAAUUGUUUGACCAUCCUGUUUCAUAACAUCAGCACCAAACUAGCACUAAAUUCUGGCAGAGGUGUUGGUGUGUGGGGCACCAGAUUUGUGGGUUCAUAGUUUAUGGAGCUACAUGCCUUUGGAAAAUGUGGUGAUGGAGGUAAUACAGACCUACAGCACUGGCUGCUCUUUUUCUUAUGCCCACACCAUUUCCUCGCUCGGUCUCAAGAAUUUGCAUCGCUUUUGGAAAGCAAAUGAAAAACUGCAGCAUCAAAGCAGAUAUGUGGGUCACAAGCAUCAUAAGAGAGCAGAGCACUUUGAGAAGUAACAGACUAGAGGACAUUUCUUUGGCUUUCUUCUAACCUAGCUUACACUCCCGAAGACAUUUCUCAUUGAAAUGCUUGACUUUCUUCUCCCACCCCCUAACUUUACCCCCCCUCCAGGUGAACGUGCUCUGCCGUUUCUCUGUUAUCAGGGUUAUGUGCAAACUUUGCUCCCAGCGCUGUGACUAAGUAGAUCAUGAUCAUCUUAAUGUUCGUAUCUGGCUCUGCACACAUAUAUUUUGCAAAGUAACGUUGGCAUUGCAGCACCGUUAGCAGCCUCCCUGUAAAAAUUAAUGAUGCAUUGUCAUGCAUGGCUAGACCAAACAGUCAGUAUUGAUUCUUGUUUGCAGGUUGUCAGGUGAUUUUAUGAAGAGGUUUUAAUAGCUGCACAUUGCUUAUGCUGUUUUAAAGCAAUUACCAAUUAACAGGCCGAAUGGCCAGUACCAUUGGAAAGAAUUCUGUUUUGAAAUAUAUUUGUAUCGGACCAAGAUAAAGAAGUCAAAUGAAAACAUGGGCCACUGAGUUUGGGUUUAUUUAAAGGGAACGCCACUUUUGUAGCAGUACAGUUGUACCUUGGUUGUCGAAUGCCCGGGAACUUGUACAUUUUGGCUGCCGAACGCUGCAAACCCGGAAGUGAUUGUUCUGGUUUGCAAACAUUCUUUUGGAAGCCAAAUGUCCCGACGGGGCUUCCGCAGCUUCUGAUUGGCUGCAGGAGCUUCCUGCGGCCAAUCAGAAGCUGCGCUUUGGUUUUUGAACGUUUUGGAAGUCAAAUGGACUUCUGGAACGGAUUCCAUUCCAUUCCAUUCCAUUCCAUUCAACUUUCGAGGUACAACUGUAUCUAAAAAGAAGCUUCCUCGCUAGUGAUGCUUUCAUUUUGUUUAUAGCUUGGAGGAAGAGGAAAAGGGGGCUAUUAGAGGGCUGGGGUGCUGUGAUGUUUCGUCAGGCUUUUGAAACAACAACCUCAGUAAACAAAGUACCAGGGGGAGCAGGUGAGGACAUGCAGAGAGAUGCUGAACUGAUUCGAGGAGUUGGGCUUCAUCUUAUGGCCCAUUCAGAAUACAAGGAUAAGUUGGAUGGGAGGGAAACUGGAGGAAAGUGGCCCUGAGCAACUUCCUGUGCCUAACCAGGAACAAUUUAUGCUUUGACAACUGCAGGACUAAGGAGUAGAAAGGUCGUCUCUGUGUUUAUGAAACAGCUCAGAACAGUUAUGUGCCUUCCGGAUCAGAGACAGAAAUCUGGCUUUGUGUUCAAUUGGUGGAUAAAAAGCAAAACAAAAAGUUAUCCCCGACCACUUGUUUAUAUAUGGGAUGGAAAUAUUUUUGGGUGGGAUUCACCUAAUGAGCUGAAAGGCCUGCACAAGGACUUAUGCUUGCACAAAUGGGCUUUCCUCCCCUUGUCCCGAAUUGGCUCUUGGGAAUUGGGAGAGCUCCUGGAGCAGCACAUGGUGGGAGGAGGAUGCGGGGAGGGAAUCGUUCCAUCUGGCCAGAUGAAAUCUUAAGGUAAAUAUCCAAAGGUGUGUAUUCCUUCCUAGUAUCCUGGAUUCACUUACUUGAUUCUUAUCUUUGCUUCGUUAUCUAACUCAUCAAAAUCAAUAGCUUUGUCACUUGUCUAGCUAAACAGUUGUAAGCCAGCGAAGAACCGGCUUUCUUUAUUGUUCGUUACCUCUAAAAUAUUUUUAAUGAUUCUUAGCUAAUUAAUAAUGAAUAAUUUUACAUCUUUAAACAAACACUACUAACAUGUUAGGAUGUAUAUUAUUAAUCAAAUCAUUAAUCAAAUCAAAUCAAACCCCUAGAACCACUGAUAAUUUAAAGUUAGGGACUUGGUAAAGCAAGAAUAUUACUCAGUUAGUAGUAGACAGUUGCUGAGAAUUUAAGAGUACAUCCCAAGACAGAGGGCUUGCUUUAUUUGUAACGGGAAGCUAUGGUUUGAUCAAGUUUGUUCUUGUUUCCUGUAUUUUGACAUGCAGUAAGCCCACAAUUUAUGUAGUGGUUACGUUCAAAAGGAUCAUGCCUAAAGCCAUAUAAUUAUAGACUUGGUAAGGACCAUGAGGGUCAUCUAGUCCAACCCCUAACUAUGCAGAAAUCUAAACUAAAACAAACAUGACAGAUGGCCAUCCAACCUCUGCUUAUAAGCCUCCAAGGAAGGAGAGUCCACCACCUUCCAAUGGAGCCCAUUCCACUGUUGAACAGCUCUUCGCAUCAAAAAGUUCUUCCUAUCAUAUCUCUUCUCUUUUCCAGGCUAAUAUCUCUUCUCUUUUCCAGUUCCCUCAAAUGUUCCUCAUAAAGUUGUUUUCCAGAUUCUUGAUCAUCUUGUUUGCCCACCUCUCCACACAUUCCAGCUUGUCAAUAGCCUUCUUAAAUUGUGCCACCCGUAACUGGCCACAGUACUCCAGGUGGGGUCUGACCAAGGCAGAAUAGAGUGGGACUGUUACCUCCCUUGAUCUGAACACUACUGUUGAUGCAGUCUAGAACAGCAUUAGCUUAUUUUCUACUUCUGCAUCACACUGUGGAUUCAUUUAAGCUUGUGGUCUACUAAGACGCCCUUACUCCUUUUCACAUGUACUACUGGCAAACCAGAUGUCCCCCAUCUUAUACUUGUGCAGCUGGUUGUUCCUGCCUAAGUGUAUAAAACUUACAUUUCCCCUUAUUGAAAUUCAUUUUGUUUGUUUUGCCAAUGAGUUUUUCAGUGAGUUAAGGUCGUCUUGAAUCCCAAUUCUGUCUUCAGCAGCAUUAGCAACCUCUCCCAGUUUGGUGUCAUCUGCAACUUUGAUGAACAGCCCCACAAUUCCUUAGUCCAAUUUGUUUAUAAAUACAUUCAACAACAACAGGCCCAGGCAGAACCCCGCAGCACACACCUUGUCACCUUUUUUCAGAUGAUGAGGAACCAGUAGUGAGCACAUUUUAGGCUCAGUAAGUCCACCAGCUACAAAUCCACCUAACAGUUACCUUAUCCAGCCUACAUUUUACCAUCUUCCCUGCAAGAAUAUCAUGGGGGACUUUGUCCAAAGCCUUACUGAAAUCGAGAUACACUUCUACAGAAUGAGAUUCUUCUGGCAUGCCUUGUUUUUGAGAAACCCAUAAUGGGUCUUAGUAAUCACAGCAUCCUGUCUUAAGUGCUCACAGAACGACCGUUUAAUUAUCUAUUCUAGAACUUCUCCUGAUACUGACGUCAAGCUGACCAGUCGGUACAUACGGGAACUUCUUGGAGACUUGUGAGAUUGACCACAUGGUAUAAAAAAGUCUGGCAAUUAGUGCUGAUAGAAAAAGUAACUUAUAAACUAAAAAUAGCAUGGGGAAUGAAGCCAAAAGACACAUUUCUGAUGGGUUGGCAUACCUUAUUCCAGGCAUCCCCAAACUCGUCCCUCCAGAUGUUUUGGGACUACAACUCCCAUCACCCCUAGCUAACAGGACCAGUGGUCAGGGAUGAUGGGAAUUGUCCCAAAACAUCUGGAGGGCUGAGGUUGAGGAUGCCUACCUUAUCCUGUACAGUGCAGAGGUGCCAACUUGAAUAAUAUAUGUCGGGGGGGUAGGUAAGCUCCGGCCCUCAACAUUGAUCACAUGACCAGGUGCGCACACACUAUUUGAAUGGCAAUGCCCACCAACUUGGAGGGGGGCACCCCACUCAAAUAUUUUAUGGGGGGGAGCUGAAGGAACCUUGUCCGCUAGGAGUUGGAUCCUGUGGUGCAGUGCAAAAUAGAAGAUUGGGGGACCUACACUACGUUAUAAAAAUAUUGGUUGCUGUGUUAGCCUGUGGCAACUGCAACUGCCACACAACCAGAAUAUGACAAUUGAAGGGAUGCAAAUUCUGAUGUUAUCUGACUUUACAUCUUUGGAAAGGGUGGGUGCAUUUUGUUCUAAUACAGUGGACGCUCGGGUUGCGAACGUGAUCUGUGCGGGCUGCACGUACGCAACCCGCAGCAGCGCUUCUGCUCACACGUGGGUUGCGAUUCGGUGCUUCUUCGCAUGCGCAAAGCGCAAUUUAGUGCUUCUGAGCAUGCGCGACCACCAAAACCCGGAAAUAACCCGUUCUGGUACUUCUGGAUUUCAGUGGUCUGCAACCCGAAAAAAUGCAACCUGAAGCAUCUGUAACCCGAGGUAUGACUGUACUGUUUUUUGUUUGUAAUAUAGGAAAAUGUUCAGCAACAGUUGUAAUGAGCAAUGCACCUUGAUAAUGGAUGUUCCCUCAGCUCCGAAGCUUGUUUUUCAGAGGCUUCAUAAUACUGUGCUGUAUUACGAUAAUAAUAAUAAAAAUGUUAAGAGUCCUGGGUCCAGGCUUUCGCAAAAUGAUUCCAAUUGUGUCCUAAAAAUACGUGAUUUUAACUCCUGUUAACAUCUUUAAGAGCUACUGAUGGGAUGCCAGGUGUAGCUGUUUCCUUUGUGCCCAAGACUCUUAUGGAUAACCCCAUUUCUGUUUUCGUUGGCACUGCCUUGGAGGCGAGUAGGAAUGAAAGAAGAAGGCUCGGUAUUUAAAGUUCAAAUAUAGGGCAGGUGCAGGUAUAGCUCUGAAAAUAAAGGCUUUCAUCCAACUUCGUGUUACUUGGUAAUAGGUUGAACAUUUCAUAAAAUGGCUUAUUUCGCUUGCUCCACAAUUUAAAGUGGGCCAAAAACUACUGCCAUUCUCUUAAAAAAAAAAUAAAAAAAAAUUACAAGCUGGUGAAAAUUGCUGGAAUGAAGAAACGUACAAUAUAUAAAAAUUGAAUUUUGUGAGAAGGAGACAGCUACAACUUUUUUUUUAAUGUGGUUUAAAUGAUUACUUUUACACUUCUCUCAGGGCUCCUCUGGAGGUGUUGGCAGUUCUCUGUUGCCAACAUCCUUUGUGUCACGGAGGCAAAUAAGUUACAGUCUUACCAUCACAUAAUCUGGAGCUAAUUUGAGCUCAUGUCCUCUGAUGAGAAAGCACAAGCAAUUUAGGACAAUAAUAGCUUCCCCCAAACAUAGCUUUACCUGCGCACUAAUAAUUCAUACUUGAUCUCUGUUCCAGUUGCAUUUCUUGCUCCUGCAUCUGGUUCAGGAUACUCACUUAAUGCUUUAAGAACGACCUUGUUCAGUAAUUGAAUUCGAACAAGAUAGGCCAGGAGGCCACUUUUCAAGUACACUCUCUCACCUUUUUUUGGAAAGCCUUGGAUAAUGAAGGCAGAUGUUCUGAACUCCGAAUUGCCAUAGUAACAAAAGGAAAAGUGUGUGCGCCAGAGAGAGAGACAGAGGGAAGCUUGUUGCUUCUCAUCAUUUGCGCUUUUCAUCUUGCUGGUGGAUCUCUUUACUAAUACUAAUAACUGAUAAUGAAGGCUUUUUCUGUGGGCUUUUGUGUUUGUGCAUUGGUGCAGCACUCUGAAAUGCUGAAUAAUGGAAACAUGAAUCGGCUUGGCUCUAGGAAUUCAGUGCUCAAAAGCCACUGCUAAUACUUUUCUUGAAAUUGACAUUGUUCUGCUUUCGACGAAACACUUGUGUGAGAUUUCAGUGUCAUGUUUUGGUGGGAGGAAGAAAGGGUCUGCUGCCUUGGUCUGAAGCAAGACAGUAUGCCUGAAGGAGCGUCUCCACUCCCAUCAUUCAUCCUAGGCACUAAGGUCCAGCUCUUAGGGCCUUCUGGCGGUUCUCUCACUGCAAGGUUACAGGGAACCAGACAGAGGGCCUUCUCGGUAGUGGCACCUGUCCUGUGGAACGCCCUCCCGUCAGAUGUCAAGGAAACAAACAACUUUCUUGACUUUUAGAAGACAUCUGAAGGCAACCCUGUUUAGGGAAGUUUUUAAUGUUUGAUGUUUUAUCAUGUUUUUAAUAUUCUGUUGGGAGCCACCCAGAGUGGCUGGGGAAACCCAGCCAGAUGAGCGGGGCACAAACAAAUAAACAAAAUUAUAAUAAACUCUGUGGUAGAUCUUGGAGAAGGGUGGCUUCCUGUACUCUUGGUCUUGUGGCUGGGUAGAUUGUACCUACAUCUUUCUGUAAAUUAUGCAAGGGGUUGUGCUACAUCCAUGUAUUUUGUGAUCAUUGCUAAUACCAUAUGGAAGACUUAACUAUUUCUGCCCUGUAUCGCUUUCACAUGUGUUCAUUCAUAAGUCUAUUCUGUACCAUUUCUGAAUCAAUCUGUUGUUGUUGUUGUUUGUUUAAAACAAAGUCCACAUGGAAAUAGGCAGUUAAAUGCUUAUUUUCUAUAAACAUAUUUUCUCCCAAAAUAUUUAUAACAGAGCACAACUAAAAAAUAUAUAUGUUUUGCUGCCAUACCAUGCUAUAUUAUACUACACUGAAAUGUUUAAAUGUUUCUUUGAUUUAUCUUGAAUCUUCCCACCACACUUGCCAUUCUUUCCUGCCGCACCAGUGUGGCACACAACACACUUUGAGAACCACUGGCUUAAGCCUAAAGCCUGCUAUGUUUGACCUGCGUUACCCUUUGUGAUGUGGAAGUUGCUUGAGUGUAGCAGGUUUCCCCGCCGCAAAUUAAUUUGAGACACAUUUACCCCAGGGUGACAACUUUUCAGUUCCAUCUUUUUUCCCUCAUGAAUAUGAUGAAAUGCUAAAGGUUAACUAACUGCCUUAAAAUGAAUUUGUACGUACAGUUAGCUGAGAUUUGCGCAAGAAGAAUAUAAAUUGUUGUUGUUGUCGUUGUUAAAUUUAUAUGCUGCCCUUCAUCCGUAGAUCUCAGGGAGGUUCACAGCAUAAAAAUACAAAAAUAAAAACACAAAAUACAGAAUAAAAUACAGAACAGGAACAAGAACAAAACAAACCAAUAACCUCAAUUGUUGUUGUACACUUGUACAAACCACUACCUAGGAGGGUCAGGGCUAUGAGCACCAACUAUUGCAGGCAUAGGCAAACUCGGCCCUCCAGAUGUUUUGAGACUACAAUUCCCAUCAUCCCCAACCACUGGUCCUGUUAGCUAGGGAUGAUGGGAGUUGUAGUCCCAAAACAUCUGGAGGGCCGAGUUUGCCUAUGCCUCAGCUAGUGAGAUGCAUUCCUAGGCGCCAAAAGGCACUUAGUUGUUAGCAGGCCAAUUCAGUUGUGCUGAUUGAAUACUCAUACAGUCAUACCUCGGGUUGAAUGUGCUUUGGGAUGAGCUCGUUCGAGUUGCGCUCUGCGGCAACCCGGAAGUAACGGAGCGCAUUACUUCCGGGUUUCGCUGCUUGCGCAUGUGCAGACGCUCAAAAUGACGUCACGCGCAUGCGUAGAAGCGCCGAAACGUGACACGCGCAGACGCACAGACACGGGUUACGUUUGCUUCUAGAUGUGAACGGGGCUCCGGAACGGAUCCUGUUCGCAUCUAGAGGUACCACUGUAUUUAGAUUUGUAACUUCAAUUUAAGAAGCCUGCUAUCGUGGCAGAAUUCUGUAAAUGGAUUAGGCAGCUGUGGUGCAACAUCACUUUUUAACAAAUGUGUUGGCCCAUGUAAUAUUGGGUUUUCUAGUAGGCAAACAAACAACAACAGUCAACCUGGCAGCAAUGUACCCUUUGUGCAACUUGUUCCAUAAGUGCCAAGGGAGUACAUGACUCCUUGGGUAGCCUGCUUGAAAUGAUUUUGCUGAAGGAUUAUGGAUCUCUCCCCUCCUUUUAGUUCCUCGUUAUUUCCUACGAUGUUUAUGAAUUUAUACAAAGCUCGACAAAGGUCGACACAGAGGUUAACGCUAUACAAAUCUGAUUAAAAUUAGCUGCGCUGUUUUCAAAGGUCAGGUGCGCUCUGUGGAUAUUCUUAGAGAUUAUAUUGUUUAUUCUGCAUAUGUAUACAUCUUAAAACUCUACAAAGGUCAUGUGGAGAGCUGGUUUGUAGAAUUCAGAGAAAGGCAGUUUAAUACCUUAAUAACCUGUAUUGAGCUGAAACAAUAGUCAAAACUAGCUAUCUGAUUCAAUGGUGGACUUUGAUGGUAGAACGCUUAAGUUGAACCAGUUCUCUUUAUUUGUGUGUGCCACGUUGUUAAUUAAAGUGUGGCGGUGAUAGAAUUUUAGUUGCUUGCAGCAUUGGAAAAUUUACCAGUUUUUUUAAAGGUCUAAUAAUCGGCAUUGGUUACCAGUUUUGAACUGGGUGGGGUGCAAGAGUCCUGCCUGUUUUUAAGUGCUGCUCAAAGCACAAUGAUACUUGUUGUUUGUGUGUGCUUCAGUCUCCCUUCUGAUGUAGCUUGUGUGACGGACAGAUGAAGCAACCAAUCAGGAGUGAGUGGCAAGCAAAAAAAAAAAAAUGGAAUGUGACUGUUUAACUAGCAGAUAGCGCCAGGCUAAGGAAGCAGCUGGGCGGUUAUGGGUUUGCUAGGCAGGACAAACCAUGUCUUGAAUUUCCUUAGGGAAAGCAAUAGAUUGCAGAAAGGAGCCAGAAGCAUUUUACAGCCAGAAUAAAACAGAUAGCCAUUCUAGGAGCAAUUGGAUUUAUUAGAAACAGAAAGUUAUGAGCAAAGUUCUUAAUUACAUCUGUAAAUGGAAUUGUGACUGAAACCAAGUUCUGUGCUUUUAGUAGCGAAACCUCUAAGCUUUAUCCCUCAGAGAGUGCUUGUUAAUAAAAUUCCAGUUUUGUUUCCAUUGUGCCUCAUUCUUAAUUUAUUCCCAGUUCAAGAAACAAGUGGUCACAGUGAUAACCUACAUCACCACCCCCCAAGACAACAACAAGAGUCCUUAUUUCUAGACGCCAACAUGCACAUAGCACCUCUGAAUUCAUAGUUGUUUCUGACAGGGAGCGUCACAGCACCCCAUAUACUCAAAGGUAUUCUGGUGAAAGUGAAGUAGGAGGGUGAGGUGCUUAGAAGCUUGCAUUUUGAUUUUCAGUCACCCCAGGACCACCCUUAAUAAUAAUACAACACUACCAAAAAUUGGAAGGGCUUUAUGGGCACCAGCAGGUUCCAUCUGAGGGUGCUAUGGUGCCCAUUGGCACCACGUUGAGGACUCCACUCUUGGAUAACAUGUUCAACUGUGAAAGGAACCAGAUUCUUUAUUUCCAAAGAUGGCCCGAAGUGCUUAUUUCAAAGGAUUUGCAAAAGUUAUGGUAAUUACUUAGCUAUGGUAACUUGCCCUGUAUUGGUAUAUAACAUAUUAGUAAGUUAAAAUAAUUCAUUUGGAAGAUAUUGGGAUUAACUUGUGUGUGUGUGUGUGUGUGUGUGUGUAUUACAAAGACUCCCUUAGAACUGUAAUAUUCAUGCUCAUUAAAAUUCAGGAGGUCUAAUAAUAAAGCCACAAAAGGAUACAAGUAUGAGUCAGUGAAGCAUGGCUAAUUACAGCAGUUUUCAAUCAUGCAACCAACAAUUGGCACGAAACUAGGUUUCUAUUAAAUACAUACUUCUGGCGAUAUUUUGUGUGGAGGGAGAGGCUGCGAUCGGAAAGGCUCUUAGCAUUUUAUUUUUUAUUUUUUUGGCCAUAAAAACAGUGAGUCUGUUACAUAAGCAUUGCAUUCUGCAUUGGCAUUUUGUUAUCAUUCCUUUGCCCCCAUGAUGCUGUUUGCAUCGAUUUUGGUUUUAAAAGCAAGGUACAGAAGUGAGUGAAGAGUCUUAAAAGACCAACUGUAAUGGCUCUUCAGAUGUAUUCUGCAAUGUUUCUGUUAGGUCUCCAAAGAUGUUUCUGUUGUUAAGCCUAAUGAGUGGAUUACGUUUGUUUUUUUCUGCCCAAGAUCAGAAUUGACAUAAAUCUCCACCUCCCUCCGAGAUUUGUCUGCGGGAAAGAGAACUUCCAGGAACAAAAUUAUGUACUUAGUGUAAUCCUGGGGUAAUUCGCUCCAAAUGUUGUUGGAAUCUCAGCUCUCAUCAGUUUCAACCAGCAUGGCCAAUGGUCAGGGAUGAUAGAAGUUGCAGUCCACAAUUUAUAGACAGCACCGUGCUGGCUAGUUCCGCUUGCUGUAAGCCUAUGUACCGUAUUUUUCGCUCUAUAGGACGCACUUUUUCCCCUCCCAAAAUUAAGGGGAAAUGUGUGUGUGUCCUAUGGAGCGAAUGCAGGCUCCUUGGCUUCAGCGAUAGCAACGCGAAGCCUCCGAAGCGCAGAGGGAGAACUCCCUCCGCGCUCCGGAGGCUUCAUGCUGCUUUCGCUGAAGCCUGGAGAGCAAGAGGGGUUGGUGCACACCGACUCCUCUCGCUCUCCAGGCUUCAGGGAUAGCCACCUGAAGCCUUUGGAGCGCAGCGGGAACUCGCGCUGCGCUCCGAAGGCUUCGGGUUCCUUUUGCUGAAGCUGGGAGAGCAAGACUCUCCCGGCUUCAGCAGAGAGGGAGAGCUGCGCAGCAGCCCUUCAGCAAAGUGGGAGGAGAAAUGGAAGGGGCUCCAUUUCUCCUGCCACUUCGCUGAAGGGGCGCUGAGCAGAGAGGGGGAGAAUUUUUUUUCCUUGUUCUCCCCCUCUAAAACAAGGUGCAUCCUAUGGUCGGGUGCGUCCUAUAGAGCGAAAAAUAUGGUAUGUCUGCUCAGGAACAAGUGCCACUGGGUUCAAGCAUACUGAACUUACAGGUAAAUCUGUUUGGUAUUGCAGCAUUAACAGAAUGGGCAAAAAACAUGUAUUUUCUGUACUAUUCCCCCUUAGAGCAAUGGAGCACCAUCCAGCUCCAUUGCUUCCUUUAAAAAAAAAAAAAAAUAUUAUUAACAGACCAAUCAAAUCAAAUCACAUGACAUAAAUUCCGAAUUACAAAGCCGAAUUUUAAAUUUUUGUUGAGGGGACCCAUAUUUCAAGUUCCGAAGGGGGAUUCCGAUCGUCUUCUUGCUACUGCGUUAAUAUCCAAAUCAGUCCAAAUAAAGUUCAUAAUUCUAUCCAGUCUUAUCUUGCUGUUUCCACAUCUCAUCUUGUUCAUACAUUUUUUAUUUUUUCCUUAUGAUCUCUUCUGGUAAUCUCCUUAAGCAGAUAAACACCAAUUGUAAUCCUGUGUGAAUUUUUCCGUUCGUCCAAUCCUCAUAUCGAGAUGGUUUCCAUAUAUCAUCGCUUUCAUAAAUAACAUCGCUCUUUCCAUCAUUUAUCUCGCAAACUGUCGUUCUUGAGUCCCUCUGAGGACACAAUAUAAAAGCAGCUCUAUUCCUCCUCCCAGACCCAAGUCCUCUGACAGAGCUUGCCAACAUGGCGACGGUAUUUUUAACUGCGUUAUUCCAAAGCUCUUAUGCAUUCCACGAUCUUCUUAAAACAUGCUUUGGUUAGAAAAUUUAUCUCCACACAGUCUUAAAUCCACAACUUAAGUCAUUAAAACGACAUUUCUGACUUGUGGGGGGGGGGAUUCUUGUUUAAUCACAUAGAGGAAAGAAAGGAAAGUUUUUUCCCCCUCCUCCAUCCAGUCCCUUUGCCAUACCGAGUCUUGGCGUAUCUUCUCAUGAUUUAUUCUUGUUCCUCCAACUCGUCUUGUUUAUCAGAGAUCUCUUCAGUUAGCAGUCUUUACUCCCCCUCCUUCCUUGAAAUAUGUGCAUUCGCUUCCUCCUAAUUGAUUCUUUUGAAGUUCUUGCAGCUAGUGGCGCGGAUCAGAGACAGCGUCCAGGAGCGCCGAGAUCCCACAGGAGGACAUUCUGCCUAGUGCCCCCAUCCCCACAAAUUCGGGGGUGGUAUAGGGCACAGCAGGCAAGGGCAGCCCCCCCACAACCUUGGGGGGGGGUAGGGAGGCUAUUUACUCCCAUCACAGCCUCCUAAUUACCUCGUGUGGGUCGGAGAGAUGUUAUUGUCAGCCAUCUUCCGAUGCGCCCCUAGUGGCCCCUGCAGCUCCAUUGCUUCCUGUGGGAAUUCCUGUAUCCGUUUUCAAAGCAUGUGGGGUCAAAGCAACCUCAUGCACUAAUCCACUACAGCCACUACAGCUGGAUUGCACAUUUUGAAAAAAGAACAUGAAUCUCUUUUAGAGAGACAGAGGCAGCACUGCAGCCUUCAGACUACUUAGUACAGUGGUACCUCGGGUUAAGUACUUAAUUCGUUCCGGAGGUCCAUUCUUAACCUGAAACUGUUCUUAACCCACUUUAGCUAAUGCCGCCACGCCGCCAGAGCACGAUUUCUUUUCCUAUCCUGAAGCAAAGUUCUUAACCUAAGCACUAUUUCUGGGUUAGCGGAGUGUGUAACCUGAAGCGUAUGUAACCUGAAGCAUAUGUAACCCGAGGUACCACUGUAUGUUCUUUACAUAAUGGCAACAACAACAAAUGCCUGUGUUUUCCAUUAAAAUUUCCCGGGAUUUGGCCGUCAGGAGCCCAUGUUAGAAGUGGUGAAUUCCGAAAAAAAUAGCCAAAGAACCUCUUACAAAAAGAAAAGAAAAGCUGAACAACUUUUGUAUCCAGAUUUUCACUUUCUGAAAUACAGCCAACCCUACAGUAGAAGCCUCUGUGUUCUAAAUGCCAUAUUUCCCCGUGUAUAUAAGACGCCCCCAUAUAUAAGACGACCCCUAUUCUUUGAGCCCAAAAUUAAGAAAUAAAUAAUCACAACUUUCCGUGUAUAAAACAACCCCCCAAUUUUAAACUUUAAAAAUUGGGAAAAAACCAUAGUCUUAUACACGGAAAAAUACAGCAGUUUUAAUUAUGUGCUGCUGUCUUCUGCUUUUUACUGUGUGUGGGUUUUUAAAAAAAUAAAUAAAUUAUAUAAGCUGAUUUUGAAAAACAACAGAUGUGCUCCUUGGGGAUGUGCCAGAUGAAAAUAUAAUUAAUAUUAAGUCUAGAAAUUGUUUAAUUUGGAUCUCUUACCUGCCCUUUGCCAUAAUACGUUCCCAGGCUGGGUUACAACAACGUAAGUAAUAUAAUUGGAAAAUAAAACAAAACCACGAACCCCAAACAGCCAUGAAUUAAUUAGCAAUUUCCAUGUAGGCACUGGCGGAGGAAGAGGGGGGCAGGGGGAGCGCACCGCCCCCGGGAGUGUGGUCCCGGUGGGGUGCCAUCGCAGCUGCCCCCCGGCACUGGGUGCCACGCCCCUGCAGGAGGCGUGCCACACCCCCAGGACGCACGCCACACCCCUGCAGGCGGUACGCCACGCCCCUGUCUGCUUUCGCCACUGCAUGUAGGUCAUAAAAUUUUACACCAACAUUAGAGGCCCGUAACCCCAGUCCCAGGGAUAAUAACAAUGAGGCUAGCUGUGUGAUACACAUAGCGUACCUGCUAAUACAGCAAUGUUGACCUUCUAUGGGUGGUAACUGGAACAUAUUGUGUUGGCUGCUGGUCCUUUGCUGUGCUGCCAUAGAAAGUUGCCACCAGAUCCUUGGCUCAUAAUACUGAGCCUUUCAGAGCUAUUGUUGUGGCAUCCAUGCAAAUGUGUCAGUGUGAAGUUUUAGAUUUAAUCGCAAUACAAUGGAUAGUGAUUCUCUGUUAGCCCAGAAGACAACCCCUCAAACGUAAACAGUUAUCAGCUCCUAGGAUCCAGUUGAACCUGACAGCGUGUCAGCGUCUAGGUUCAGAUCAAAAUCGCCUCCAGUUCCACACACAAAAACCUCCAGCAUUCAUAGCAUAAUAUUUAAAUGGAUCCUUAUAAACGCUUAAGGUUCUCAUUAGUUUAACAUUAGAGGACCAAUGAAUAUUAAUGUUUGACAUCAAAGAAAACAUCUAAAAAUCAAAGCAAAUAAACACCAAUUAUAUAAUGCUGCAAAACAUAAGGGGCAAGGCUGUAAUUGGGUUGGCAUCUUUAAUCUGUGAAGGCUGCUCAGUGUUAGACUUCUUGUUACUCUAAACUCUGAAAUAAUGACACAAAUGAAAACUGAAAGGAGUGGGCAGCAGGGAUGUGUUGGGUAUAUAGCCUGGCAACAUGUAACUCAGAUAUAUAUACACACACACACAGUGACCCCAAGGUAGAUUACUUUUAAUAUUUUAAAUACUUUGAGGGAUUCGGUAAUCCCUCAAUCUACUGCUAAAAAUGGCCGGUUGAUGUGCUACUAAAACAGCAUUCAGAUAAGUAGAUUAUAUCAAUACAGCCUCCAAAGCAGAUGUAUCUGAUUGUCGUAGCUUUUAGGUAGGUCUCUUUAUUUUGAUACACAUUCAAUAUUUAUAAAUGUUAAGGGGAAGCAGUUGAUCAUGGUUAGUUUGGGCUGGCUUGGAUGCAAGAAGAAUCGUUGGCGUUGCAUGGUAAAAAUGAGCUUUCCCCUAUCCAGGCUUCCACCUGCUCUGACUGACUUUGGUAUUUGAACCCAGACAAACUAUGAUUAAUCUUAAUUAUGGUUAGUGGAAAUGAAACAACUUCAAAUAAUACUUUUAGAACUAGCUCAUUUUCAUUAAGAUUCUCUGUAUUUUGUCUGGACACACUGAACUGUGGUUUAAUCUAAAAAAUGGAAGCAACCGGCCAUGGGUUUCAUGGCUAAACCAUAGUUUUGCGGUAUGUUCUCACACUAUUAAAAAUUAUAUAUUGUUAAGAGUUUGUACCAGACUCUCCAAAUUCCUGGGUCCAGUAGGGGUUGGAAUUUAGUCAAUUCAAAUGUUAAAAUAUAAGCCAGUUUCCUGACCAGGAAGUCAACUGUGGUGAUGGGCCAUUAGGAGGACAAAAGGAAGGUGAUGGACCAUUAGGAAAGAGACGGAGCUCUGUGCCAGAUGGCAAAUGGAGGGGCCCCUCCCUCAACUCAAGACAAAAAAGGAGAGUUUAAAGUAGAGUCUUAGAGUUGAGUUGUCCAUGAUGUGAUCUAGGGGGAAAAGGUAGCAGGCUGUUGAAGACAGAAAGCUAGAGAGAGGAUCGGAGCCAUGGCUGAUACAGUGGUACCUCAGGUUACAUACGCUUCAGGUUACAGACUCCGCUAACCCAGAAAUAGUGCUUCAGGUUAAGUACUUUGCUUCAGGAUGAGAACAGAAAUCGUGCUCCGGCGGCGCGGCAGCAGCGGGAGGCCCCAUUAGCUAAAGUGGUGCUUCAGGUUAAGAACAGUUUCAGGUUAAGAACAGACCUCCGGAAUGAAUUAAGUACUUAACCCGAGGUACCACUGUACCUAUUUGAAUCCAUGGCUGCAGCUAUGGGAGAAAUAAGUCCCUCUUGGGAUGUCAGUGGUGUGAACCCCUCCAUCGUAGGCUCAGGUUGUAUAUAUGUGUAAAUAAACCAUAUAUCAUAAAGACACCACAAUCUGUGCUGUGCCUCAUUUCGAAAAGGAAACACGAACCCUGGGUACGUGCGUCUGGAGCGCCUGGAUUCUUGCCCCAUUCAGAGAUUGGGAUGAUGCGCAACAAUAUAUAAUGGCUUGUAUCCAAAGAGAUGUGUGUAUACACAGUGCUGCUCCGUUUUUCUUCCUUUCUGGAAAUAGGCUCUCACAGAUUGCGGCAACAGAAACUCCCUGAUGUUCAGGGAUUUAUUUAUUUUUAGGAGGCUCCUUCUGGAAACCUAUGAGCAUUCUGUUGAAUCCUGACCAAUACCUUUUUUAAAGCCCCCUACCCCACCCAAAGUGGAAUCCAGCCAGAUGCAAUGCAUUUUUUAUUUCUUAAAAAUAAUUUAACGUCCUGUGGAAAUGUGUGUGGCAAGGUAUUUGGGCUGGUUAGUGCUCCUUAAGGUAGCAUCAGGAGCUGUCACUGUUGUAAACACCAUGAGACAGAGCAGUUGUACUGUGGCGAUUGGUGAUAUGGUAUUUCUCUCGUCAAACAGAGAUUUCAACAGAAUGUUGCUAAGGGAAGUUGGGCUGGAAUGACACUUUCCCUCAUUAGAAUGAAUACCGUCAGAUGGGUUACAUUCGGAAAUAUAUUCUGUGACUGGCAUUUUGAAGCUGUCUUUCCUUGUCUGGCUCUUCCAAACUUUUGUUCAGAACCGCUUAGAUGUUCCUCUUUCCUGAGGUAUUUUUUUCUAGAGGGGGGAGGGAUUAAAAAAUCAAUUGUCCACAUUCUUCCUCCUUUGUUGGGAUUCAUUCAUAUAAUCAUAUUGUUCAGCUGAUCUUUGUGAUGCCAGUGGAACUGCCCCAUAAACUACUUCCUAUUAGUCUUUAUUCCCCCCUCCCCCUGAAAAGGAGAGCCCAUGUGAUGCAGUGACAUUUCAUUAUAUUUUUAGCUGUACACGUGAGAUGUUUUAUUCCAGAGGUCACCGACCGUUUUAGGCCUGUGGGCAUAUUUAAUAAUAAUAAUAAUAAUAAUCUUUAUUGCGGUCCAUCGACCCAUAACAUGGAUUCAGAAUAAAAUACAGUUUCAUACAGACAACCCCUCAGGGAAGGGAGACCGAAGCGUUAUGUUGAUCUUUGAUUCGUAUGACUACUGAAAGAAACUUUGCCACUGUGAUAUCAUUGGACUUGUUGUCCAGAAGAUAUUUGAUAUAGUAGGCUUCAGAUUGACCUGGCCGAUUUGCCAAUAGUGGUUUAAUCAAUAGUUCCCUAGCUUGAUCAUAUUGUCCGCAAGAGGGCAUAUUUGGAUUUUGGAGCAAGUGCCUGGUCAUUUCUCUCCCCUCUGCACAAAAGAAAGUGUGUAUACACAGGGUAAAAAGGAUCGGGGUAGAAAGUUAGACCCAGUAGAAAUAUUCUGAGCCUUCAAAAACACAUGGAGCUAAAACAGAAAAUGGGGGAGAGCAUCACUCAAAGAUGUUCACUGUCUCAAGAGGGCAGUAGCUGGGUGUGGGGAAGGAGGGGUCUGAGGCCUGGGGAAUACCUCAAUAUGCAAAUAUGCAUAUGAUAUGCAUAUUUACAAAGAUGUGUUAAUCACACAGGAACGCCAUCAAAAGGGAACUGCUAGCAAAUCAUACAUCUCUCUCCAUACCCUAUUUUCUUUUAGUUUACAUUUGUUUUGUUCUUUUAGGGUUUAGCUGGAGGUGUUAGGGGGGGAAACAGAGCACUCUAGAAGUUAGUUAUAAUUUCUAUGUGGAUGGGGGUUCCUCUCUCUUAUGUCUUACAGCUAGUGCUACAGACUUUUUGGUAGCAGUGGUGCCGGCAAUGGGCUGAGAAGGAGAGACAGCUAUGUCAACUUGUCCUAAUUCUAGCCCUGAUCCUCCAGUCGUACUGUAUAAAUGCUUCUCUUGAGCUGUUUGCAGAAGAGCAAUAAUACAGAAGUGUUAUGAGAAACCACACAGUAGGAAGACUACCUUUGAAUUGUGGCCUUCAGAGACGACAGUUUUAGCAUAUCCAUGUUGCGUCCUGUUCAGGGGAGAAGCUACAAGAAUAAUUGCUAAUCUGGAAAAACAGGUAGAAUUGAAUGAAACAGGAGGUUUAUGAAACUGGGGGUUCUAGAGUUGUCCAUGCAGUGGAAGACACAGCAGUUCUGGGCAGAGAAGACUAAUUAAGGCUUUUGAUAACCUAGAUGAGUGUGAGGUCAACGUGGAAAGAGAAUGAAGAAUGGUAAUAUGAUUUUUCUUCGGCCAGAGCAGGGUGGGGCACACCAAAGAAACUAGGUGCAUUUAGGAUUAGAAAUUGAAUUAAAUAUUUCCGGAAGUUAGAAUAAGGGAAACCACAGGUCCAAUAGGGCAAAGCCUUUCUUUUUUCCUGCCAUGUGUGCAAUGGAAAAAUGAUUAGAAUUUCAGAUGAGGAUUGCCUAGAGAAACUGACACUUUAAAACAUGGUUUGAAUCUGGCUUUGUGUUGUAGCUGUUCUCCAUUCGGCCGUUGGAGUGCUUGGUUUUCUCGAGUCUGAAUGCUCAGUGUCUCUGUGUGGAGAAACAGCGCUGGACCUGCGCAAGCAGUUUAGGGGAUAAUCUGGGGGGAAAGGCAACGUAAAGAGGAGAAGACAGAGAAUAAAGUUGCAUUGCAGAGGAUGGUACGAGAGAGUUGUUAGGAGUAUAGAGUCAAAAAAACCCCACAUCCAUUCACCAAAAUCAUUAACACUUUGGCAAGCCAGUGACUCUCUUGGGCUACAAUCCCAAAGCACACUUUGGCAGAAAAAAAAAGUCUGACUUCCAAGUUAAAAAAAAGAAAUGUAAUUAAGAUCAGGUUGUUCGUCUCUUAAGAGCAUCGAGAAUCCAUUUAUGGCUUCUCACAUAUGGCCUUAUUGCGUCAACAGUUGCAUUCUCUCUCCAUCAGGCUGUGCGCACUGACUAGUUAUUACCACUACAAUGAAGAUUUUGCUAGCACAUAAUUUCACUGAUUCAUUCUGAACUCACCAUGGCAAGAAAUAAUCCUGAAUGCCUUCGCCUUACUGCCGAGGCUUCACCAGAUGCUGUUGUACCAGUAAAGUUUCAUUGCUGAGCAACUGUAGUAUAUGGAGCCAUCUGGGGCUGCACCAUGUAGAUUGUUUGAAGUGGAGAAGCAGCAGAAUUCUAGUUUCCUUCUGCCUGCCUGCUGGGCAGGAAUCUCCUGGGGGUGCUGUGGAGCAAGGUGACCCAACCUUUUAAAAUAAAACAAUAUUCAUUUUAUUGAUUUUUAUUUAAAGUAUUUAUUGGCUGCACGUCAUCAGAUUUCUGUUCUGCAUACAAAAUUGAAAAUAAUUCAAAAAACACAAAUGGAUGGUUUUUUAUUUUUAAAAAAGUCCAAUGGUGAAAUAAAUUAUAGAAGAAGCUAAAACACAACACAGCUAAGUAAGAAAAGCAGUUACUACCAAAACUAAAUAAAAAAUGCAAACAGGGAAAUCUCAGCCUAGUGCUGGAAAGAUAGUAAUGUUGGGACUGAAUGUAGCUCUUUAGGGAAGAGUUCUAAAGUUGGGACAACACCGCAGAGAAGUGCCUCCGCAACAGCAUAAUUCCAAUUAUUUCAUUCAUCUCCCACCUUUUCUCCAAAGAGCUCAAGGUGGUGUACAUAGUUCUUCCAAAUCCACAUAGCAUACCUCUGUUAAAGAUGGUACUGGGAGAAGAUCUCUGCAGAAUAUCUUAAGACUCCUGUUUUAGGGGGAGUGUAUCAGGCUGGAAAUUACUCACCAACAGUACAGGGGUUGUAUCAAGUCUCAAGUUUGUUCAUGCUUAUCAGUUCCAUAAUUGUGCUCAAGGAGGUUGUGCACAGCCUCACAUCUGUUUGAUGUCCUUUGGCUACCAGUGACACCUCAUCCUAAAUCUCUGAAUGACCUCUCCCUACCAGCAAUUUCAUGUAGAUGCUAAAUCUCAUCGGAGAAAGAGUUGAUCCCUGUGGGGCCCUGAAGCAUAGCUGCCUAGGGAUCAAGGAGUAAUCUCCCAGUUCUACUUUCUAAAAUCAGCCCUCAGUUAGGAGGGGAGCCACUCCGACUGCAUGCCUUCAACACCCCAUUUCAGAGAGCCUGUCCAGCACACUGCUGCCAAUGGUAUUGAAAACCACCAUAAAAGUCUAGAAGAAUCAACAAGGUCACACAUCUCCUGUCUCUCCUAACAAAGGUUUAUCCCACAGAGUGAGCAAGGCAGUUUCCAACACAAACCUGAAAUCUGAUUGAAAAAGAUCUGUAUGAUCCAAGAGUAACUGGAGUUUCCCAGGGUUGUGUCUUAAUUUGUUCCAUUGAUUUCUUUAAAAAAAAAAAAAUAAUAGUUGAAAUAGUCACAAAAGAUAGCCAUUAUAUAUAUAUGAUACAUAGAAAUAGUUAUAAGUAAAUUGAAGACAAGAGUGAAAAUGCCUUUAAAAUCUUGCGGUGCUUGCUGGUAAAAACAAAGGAAGCGCGAAUCCUUUCAAAUAAUUCAUAUUUUCAUUUGCCAUCUCACAAAUGAACGAAUUCGGAGUUUAGCCGCUGGAGCCAAAUGCCAAGUCUUUUGAAGCCUUUCAUGAAUCGUUAGCUGUUCAGACUCUCUUCAUUUUAUAGCCAUUAAGUGGUGUGUGUUUUUUGCAGCUGUUAGAUUUCACACCAACUCAAAAUGUAGGAACUGAACUCUGCAAGAACCCCAACAAGACACAAAGCAGGUUCAGUUGAAGCGCGUCAGUUAUAUUACCAUCAAACUUCCACUAAAUGCGCAUAGUGCCAAAGAGAUUGUGGAACUUCAGUAGGCAGCGUUUCCCAUGAUUGCUUACCCACCUUUCACCAUAAGGUCACAGGGUGGAUUACAACACAAUAUCCGGUUAUAAAAAACCCACAAAUAAAACAGAUGCUGUUUUAAAAGCAAAGAAGAACAAUAUCAACUAAAAGACGAAGGUCCUACAACACAAAAUUUCUUAAUAGUCAUUCUUCCACCUUUUAGAUAUUGUUCAAAAGAAGUCCUCUCUGAGUCCAGCUUUCCUAGGCUAGAACUCCAUGUUAUAAGUGUUGGCAGAAACAAAGCGGCGCCUUUCUUUUCUUCUUUUUAGUGAUGAACUAAGUCUGAUGUUUCAUUUUUAACAUAAUAAACAUUAAAGCCACCGGGCAAGUGAAAGGUGUGAUUCCAAAAUAAAUGAUGGCAGUGAGGGAAAAUUUUGGGAAGCAUUUCCCUAAAGUUUGUAGAAGAGAUGGGUUUUGUUUUAACUUUGAGACAAUAUAACAAAGUAAAAAUAAAUAAAAAAGCCAAAAGUAUUUUGGAAUUCAGGCUCAAGAACAUACCAUGGGCAUCUUCCUUCACAUUAAGCUUCUGUGUUAUUACUUGCAAACAUGUGGCAGUAUAAUGAAGCAUGAGUUCUAGAAAGUUUAAAAACCUUUACUGUAUCAUUUCUGUAAAAGAGCAGCCACAACUCUGUGUGGUUUAUUGUCCCAGAAAAUGCAAGGAUCAAAUCACAAUUUCUCCAACGACUCUAGCAUGAUUGGGGUAGUUAAAUUCACAAACAUAAACAUCAACCAAAGCAAUAUAUUCAUUUCCAGCACAGAAAUCAUUCGAGUCCAGGAAAUUUCUAACACAGACUUUCUUAGAUCACUGGCAAUAUCAUUUAUGGGGGAUGUAAUUGCAUUGAAAUGAGUCAUCUGUUGUUUGUGUUGCAUAUAUUCAUAAGUAUCUGACACACUUUCUUCCAGAAGUUUCAAUAGGACUUGGCCAUUACUAACUUUUGACAUGCUGAGGUCCGAGCUAUUGCAUAUACCUUUCUAUACGAUGUUUAUGGAAAGGUGCCUAUUUGCCAUUCCAGGUAUAGAGAGAUUGGUGUAACUCUUGUCAACUGACUUUCUGGGUUUGCCUCCUGCUUCUCAGCUUUUUUCCAGCAUCGCUUUCUCUUGUUCUUGAUUGAUAUUUGUUUGUCAUUUGUUUCUUCAACUUCAAAGGCUUGAGGAACAUUUUGAUAACUUCAGUUCCUCUUUUUCCUAGGUCCGGGGACUUCUCAAGUCUUGACAUAUUCACACAUCUGGAAUUCACUCUUGCCUUCCUACAGAUGCUACCAGUGUUGUGGUUAUUUAAUUUAUUCAUUUAUCUCAUUCAGUUUAUGAAUUGCUUUCUAUAAGACAUUAGAAGGUUAUUUAAGAAUGAGUGAAGUUCCAUGGUCAGAAAUACUCAAAGGGAAGGGAGCCCUAGAUGGAUGAGAGUUUCUUAAAGGUGAAAUAUUGAAGGCACAAAAGCAGACAAUUAUAAGAAAGAAAAGUGGAAGGCACCUAAAGAAACCAGUGUGGCUGCAUAAGGAGCUUACAGAUGGAGUAAUCUUGUUUUCUCUUGCUCCAAUGGAUUCAAGUUAUGAAAAAGGAGAUUUCAACUAAGCAUCAUGUGAUGGGAUUAUGAGCUGCUUGUGCAGGAGACAGCUGUGUGGAGCAGCCCAGCAGGAACCGGAGAAGCAGGGCUGGAGCAGAUUCCCAAGCCUGGAAAAAGUGCCGGGUGUUAGAGGUCCAGCUGGCGCUGCAGGCUGGCGAGGCUGGAGGAAGGAGGCUCAAGAUGCAGACAAGGGAGAAAAGCCACCCAGCUCGCCAGAAGGUGCCCAGGAUUGGUGCAGGAGGAUGUGGGAGGCCACAAAGACUAUCAUAGCUUUCGGACAGAAAUGCAACCAUGCCCUCAAUCCUGCGGUUUGAUUGAUUUUUCCCUGAUGGGGAGUCACGGGUGGCUUUUUGUGGUUGGGCAUCUUGAAGGGCGAGAGACUGAGGUUAGGCCCCUGAUGGCAGCGAAUAGUGGCUCUAUAAAGACACCCGAUGCAGUUCCUCUCGCGCCCUGGAUCUGAUGUGUUCCAGCGAUAUUGACACGGGAGUGGUGCGCAGUCAGUUCAUGGCUUGCAAUCAGGGGAGCCGAUCUGUACGUGAGUACUGGACUGUGUUCACCAUGCUGUUAGACAGAUUGGGGUGGGACUUAUCAGCGGAACCCAUUCAAAUGCUCUUUGAAGAAGGGCUUUCUUCGGCUGUGACAGAUGAACUCCCCGGGCGCCAGGGCGGGUCUAUGGACCAGCGACCAAAUCAGCGCUGGCCAUAGGAGGCGCGCCGGAGGCGAGGCAUUGGAGGCGGGAGGGAAGGGAGCGUUGGAAGGAGUUCCGCAUUCCAGACAUUCCAGAGCCAACUGUCCCGCCGGCAGAGCCGAUGGAAAUCGAACAGCGCGCGCGCGGUUUAAAGCCCAGUGAGGGGAAGAAGGAUGGAAAAGGCGCCCGGAAAUGCUAUCUCUGCCAGCAGCCAGGGCGCUUUGCCAGAGUCUGCCCCCAGAGGAAGGAAUGGCAGGGAUGGUGGGAGCUGUGGAGGAAGAGAGGAAAAAUGCCGGGCAACUAAAGCCAGCGCCUGGGCUGCCAUUGUCAGGGCACAGCAGCCAGGCCAAAAAAGAGCAGUGGUGCCCGCCAGAACCUCUAAACCCGCCCUAGUGAUAGAAGUGACACUAGAGCUGCCAAACGGACACCCUCUAAAGAUAAGGCGCUGUUGGACUCAGGCAGCUCCUGCAAUUUCAUGAGCAAAGAGUUUGCAGCUGAACACCAGAUACAGACGCUCCCUUUAAGCAACCCCCUGCAGGUAACCACGAUCGUGGCAGGGGGCUGUUGGGAGGAGGGUCAGCUUGCAGACCGUCCAAUGAUAAUGGAGAGGUGGCAAGGCACACUGAACUGAUAGCCUCUAAUGUGGCCACCUUGUGGGAGGAGCUCCCAUUAUNNNNNNNNNNNNNNNNNNNNNNNNNNNNNNNNNNNNNNNNNNNNNNNNNNNNNNNNNNNNNNNNNNNNNNNNNNNNNNNNNNNNNNNNNNNNNNNNNNNNAUGGGAUUAUGAGCUGCUUGUGCGUAAAAUCGUAUUCCCUCAGAGUUUGUUCAAGUCCACAAACCUCUGUCUGUGACUGAGCCCCUCUGACAUGGCUCCUCUUAGUCACUAGAAGAUUCCGACAGUGGUUGCUUUCGUAAUCGCUUCCAACAUAAAAGCUCCUUAACGGAAACACGUCUUCUGGACUCUCUGCGUGACAGUUUCCGGCGAGGAGUGGGUGUCGCUACAGGAGGUCCGGAAACCUCACCACUGUUUUCGCUGGAAGUAUCUCUGAGCCAUCCCCCAGCUCCCUUUCCCUCAGUUCAGCUUGUCUCCCCUGCUGGUUUCCUCUUCCGCUGCUGAGUCUCUUCCAGCCUGUCUGAGCCCUUUCACCUCCCUCAGUUCAGCUUCUCUCCCUUGCUGGUUCCCUCUUCAGCUGCUGAAUCUCUUCCAACCUGUCUGAGUCCUUUCACCUCCCUUCCUUCCGAUGGCAGUUCCCUGACAUCCACCUCCCCUCCAGGGCCCCCUUCACCCCCUCUCGCCCCCUCCUCUACGGGCGGUGAGGAGGCAAAACCCGGAAUGAACUUCCUUCAUCUUCCGAUGUCUCGAACACUUCUCUCCACCUGUUGCGGUUCCUGGUCUCGAAGCACUCCUCCUCCUCCGAGUCCAUCUCCCCUUCCCCUUCCGAUUCUGGGAAUCCUUCCAACUCCUCCUCCUCCUCAGUGGUCCCAAAGUAUUCCCUCCGGAACCUCUCCACAGGCUGAGGUUUCCGUGGGAACCUUUGAUGGAACAUUUCUAUCAAUACCUCGUCAUUGAUAUCUUUGGCCAUUACCCACGUGUUUUCUGACUCCGGUUCUCCUUCCCACGCUACCAAAUACUCCACCUGAUUCCCCUUCCACCUGGCAUCAAGGAUUUCUGCCACAUGACUGCUGCAUUCUCUUUCUUCUAUGACCGGUCCCGAGUGUCCAUCCCUUCUCGUCCCCCCUCGUACGGUGACAGUAACGACCUGUGAAAUACUGGGUGCAGUUUCAUGUGGUUGGGUAACCGGAGCCUGAAAGCCACUGGGUUGACCUGUUGAAUGACCUCAAAGGGACCCAACCUCCUGGGUCGUAAUUUCUUACAACCUCCUUUGAACGGCAACCCUCGGGUUGCCAGCCACACCCUAUCUCCAACCCUUAUGGUUUCACCUUCCCUUCGGUUCUUGUCUGCCUGCCUCUUGUAUUCUUCCUUCGCCCUUUCUAAGUUGAGUUGGAGCUGACGGUGGAUUGCUUCCAUUUCUUCUACAAAAUGCUCGCCUGCCGGUGCGCUCCAUCUCUCCCCUUCUCCCCUGGGAAAGCCCUGGGAUGACACCCAUAAUUAGCCAAGAAGGGCUCAUCCCUGUGGACACAUUCUCGGCAUUGUUGUAGGCAAAUUCCGCCAGCGCCAACUUUUCUACCCAGUCAUUCUCUCUGUCAUUGACAUAACACCUCAGGUAUUGCUGGAGGACACCGUUUGCUCUUUCCGCCUGCCCGUUGGUUUCAGGGUGCCGGGCAGUCGAAAAGUUGACCUCCACCUGCAGUAAGCUCAUGAGCUUCCUCCAGAACCUGGAAGUAAAUUGUUUUCCUCGGUCUGAGACCACCCUCAAUGGCACCCCGUGCAACCUAAAAAUGUGUUCUACAAAUAACUUCGCUGUCUCUUCCGCCGUGACUGCAUGCGAGCAAGCUACAAAGUGGCACAUCUUUGUUAGUAGGUCUACCACCACCAUGAUGGCUGUUUUCCCUUUGGACUUCGGCAGAUCAGUCAUAAAAUCUAUCGACACUGCCUCCCAAGGUCGUUCUGGUGUUGGUAAGGGUUCUAAUAGCCCCGCCGGCGCCCGCCUUUCCCCUUUGGCUCGCUGGCACUGCUCGCACCCUCUUACAUACUCACGUACAUCCUCCCUCACCUUAGGCCACCAAAAUUCCCUGGUGACCAACCACAUGGUUUUGUGUUGCCCAAAAUGCCCGCCGUGGGGCUGUCAUGCAACUGCUUGAGUACCCUCCCCUUAAGUCUCCUUCAGGGAUAUACAGUGCCCCUUUGUAAUACAAAGCUCCAUUUCUUUCCUCGAAACCCCUUGAUUCCUCUCCCUCAUCCCUAAGACCUCUGAGCUUAUUCUGGGCGUAUUCAUCAUUCUCUGUUUCUUCUACCAGUUCUCUUUGUCCCACCAAUGCCGCCCCACACACCCAGCGGUCCUCUGGAAUGACAUGUCUCUCUUCGGGUGCUCCCUCCCCCUCCCAAUAUUCAGGUUUGCGUGAGAGAGCGUCCGCCCUAAUGUUCUCUGGGCCUGGCACGUAACAAAUCUCAAAGUUAAAUUUGGAGAAUUCCUGGGCCCAUCUCACUUGCCGUUGGUUGAGCACUCGUGCCGUCCUCCAAUACUCUAGGUUCUUGUGGUCAGUGCACACUUGCACCUUAUGUUGUGCGCCAAUUAGCAGGUGCCUCCAUCUCCGGAACGCCUCAUGAAUGGCUAGUAGUUCUCGGUCAUACACCGUGUAGUUCCUCUCGGAUUUGUUCAGCUUUCGCGAAAAAAAGCACACGGUCUCCACUCUGACUCCUCCUUCCCUGGCUGGAGAAGCACCGCCCCAACCGCUCUGUCUGAUGCGUCAGUUUCCACUCUCAUCGGUUUUGUAAAUCCACAUGCAGGAGCUGUUGUUCCGAGGCGAAGGCCCUUUUUAGUUCCUCAAAUGCUUGCUCCGCCUCCUCCGUCCAAACGAACUUCUUCUUACUGCUGAGACAGUCCGUAAUGGGCGCCGUCAGGUGGGCAAAGUUUGGGAUGAACUUACGAUAGAAGUUCCCAAACCCUAAAAACCUCUGCACAUCCUUCCUUGUUUUGGGUGUUUUCCAUUCCAGUACCGCCUGGACCUUGCCGGGAUCCAUGGCCAACCCCUUGUCAGACAGGCGAUACCCCAGGAAUUCCACCUCCUUGGUAUGAAACUGACACUUCUCCAGUUUCACCCACAGCUGGUUGGCUUGCAGCCUGCUCAACACUUCUCUGACGUCUCUCACAUGCUGCUCCUCAUUCUCAGAAUACACCAACACGUCGUCUAAGAAGGCCACACAAUUCUUGUAAAGCAACGGCCCCAGGACGUGGUUCAUAAACGAUUGAAAUGUUGCGGAGCCUGCUUGUAGACCGAAGGGCAUAACUAAGUAUUCAAAUGCCCCUAAAGGGGUGAACAUGGUGGUUUUCCAUUCAUCCCCCUUCCUUAUUCGUAUCAGGUUGUACGCCCCCUUAGAUCCAGCUUGGUGAAAAUCUUUCCCUUUCGCACCCUUGUCAAAAUGUCGUCAAUCCUGGGCAUCGGGAAGGCCACUGGUUCUGACACUGCAUUUAAGGCCCUGAAGUCACACACCAGUCUCGGCUUGUUCGUGUUUUUGUCCACAAAAACACUGGGCUGCCCCACCGCCCUGGACUCUCUGAUGAACCCUCUCUUCAGGUUCUUGUCAAUGAACUCUCUUAGCUCCUGCAUCUCUCUGUCUGACAUGGCGUACAGCUUGCCCACAGGGAGCUGUGCCCCAGGGAGCAAAUUGAUUUGACAGUCAAAGGCUCUAUGCGGUGGUAGUUGGUCAGCUUCCCUUUCGCUGAAGACGUCGCGGAGAUCUGCGUAUUGUCGUGGUACCUUCACGUUCUCCUUCACUUCAGUCCCUGCUAGGGUGGCUUGGGCCCCUGCCAAAACCUUUCCCUCUUUGCAAUGUUCUAAGCAAUGUGCUGACCCAAAAGAAACCACUCUCUGAUGCCAGCCCACCAGCGGAUCAUGUAACGCUAGCCAGCUCAUCCCCAAUAUAAUGGGAGCUCCUCCCAAGGUGGCCACAUUAAAAGCUAUCAGUUCAGUGUGCCUUGCCACCUUCAUUAUCAUUGGGACGGUCUGCAAGCUGACUUCUCCUCCCAACAGCUCCCUGCCAUCGAUCGUGGUUACCUGCAGGGGUUGCUUAAAGGGAGCGUCUGUAUCUGGUGUUCAGCUGCAAACUCUUUGCUCAUGAAAUUGCAGGAGCUGCCUGAGUCCAACAGCGCCUUUAUCUUUAGAGGGUGUCCGUUUGGGAGCUCUAGUGUCACUUCUAUCACUAGGGCGGGUUUAGGAGGUUCUGGAGUGGGCACUUUCACUGCUCUUUGGCCUGGCUGCUGUGCCCCGACAAUGGCAGCCAGGCGUUGGCUUUUAGUUGCUCCGGUAUUUUUCCUCUCUUCCCUCCACAGCUCCCACCAUCCCUUGCCAUUCCUUCCUCUGGGGGCAGACUCUGGCAAAGUGCCCUGGCUGUUGGCAGAGAUAGCAUUUCCGGGCGCCUUUUCCAUCCUUCUUUCCCCCUCACUGGGCUUUGAAACUGCGCGCGCGCGCUGUUCCGAUUUCCAUCGGCUCUGCCGGCGGGACAGUUGGCUCUGGAAUGUCUGGAAUGCGGAACUCCUUCCAACGUUCCCCUUUCCCUUCCCGCCUCUCCAAUGCUCUCGCCUCCUGGCGCGCUCCUAUGGCCAGCGCUGAUUUGGUCAGCUGGUCCAUAGACUCCGCCCUGGGCGCCCGGGAAAGUUCAUCUUUCACAGCCGAAGAAAGCCCUUCUUCAAAGAGCAUUUGAAUGGGUUCCGCCGAUAAGUCCCACCCCAAUCUGUGUAUCAGCAUGGUGAACUCAGUCCAGUACUCACGUACAGAUCGGCUCCCCUGUUUGCAAGCCAUUAACUGUCUGCGCACCACUCCCUUUUCAAUAUCGCUGGAAAACAUCAGAUCCAUGGCGCGAAAGAACUUCAUCGUGUCUUUUAAGACGUCACUAUUCGCUGCCAUCAGGGGUCUAACCCAGUCUCUCGCCCCCUUUUCAAGAUGCCCAAUCACAAAAGCCACUCGUGAUUCCUCAUCAGGAAAUCAUCAAACUGCAGAUUGAGGGCAUAUUGCAUUUCUGUCCGAAAGCUAUGAUAGUCUUUGGGCUCCCCCCCAAAUUUUUGCACCAAUCCUGGUACCUUUCUGGCGAGCUGGGUGGCUUUCUCCCUUUGUCUGCAUCUUGAGCCCUCCUCUCCUCCAGCCUCGCCGUCUGCAGCGCCAGCUGGACCUCUAACACCCGGUACCUUUCUUCCAGGCUUGGACCCGCUCCAGCCCCUGCUUCUCCGGUUCCUGCUGGGUUGCUCAUUAUUAUGCCGUCUCCUGCACAAGCUGCGUUCAAAGACUGUCGGAAUGCUGUGAUGGGAUUAUGAGCUGCUUGUGCGUAAAAUCGUAUUCCCUCAGAGUUUGUUCAAGUCCACAAACCUCUGUCUGUGACUGAGCCCCUCUGACAUGGCUCCUCUUAGUCACUAGAAGAUUCCGACAGUGGUUGCUUUCGUAAUCGCUUCCAACAUAAAAGCUCCUUAACGGAAACACGUCUUCUGGACUCUCUGCGUGACAGUUUCCGGCGAGGAGUGGGUGUCGCUACAGGAGGUCCGGAAACCUCACCACUGUUUUCGCUGGAAGUAUCUCUGAGCCAUCCCCCAGCUCCCUUUCCCUCAGUUCAGCUUGUCUCCCCUGCUGGUUUCCUCUUCCGCUGCUGAGUCUCUUCCAACCUGUCUGAGCCCUUUCACCUCCCUCAGUUCAGCUUCUCUCCCCUUGCUGGUUCCCUCUUCAGCUGCUGAAUCUCUUCCAACCUGUCUGAGUCCUUUCACCUCCCUUCCUUCCGAUGGCAGUUCCCUGACACAUCAGGAAGAACAGUAAGAGCUGUUCAACAGUGGAACAGACUCCCACAAGAGUCCUUGGCACCUCCUUCCUUUGAGGUUUUAAAGCAGCAUUUGGCUGGCCAUCUGCAAUGCAUGAGCCAGUUGAGAUUCCUCCAUUGCAGGGGGUUGGACUGGAUGACCUUCAGAGGCCCUUCCAAGUCGACAAUUCUGUGAUUUUUUUUUUUUUGGGGGGGGACACAAUUUCAUAUAUAAAAACAAUUUCAAAUCUAACAAUACAGAUGCAGGCUUGAAUAAAACCUCUGUGUAAAAGACUUGUUCAGAAAUUAGGCGCUGAAAAGGCAGUAGAGACAUUUUCUGUGUGAUACAAAAAGGAUGCAAUUGGAAAAGGGAUGUGUCACCAUGCUAAGGGCCCAAAUCUUGCAUUGUACAGAAUGGUCCUCCCAAGGAGAUGCUAUCUGCAGGAAGCCAUCUGGUGCGUUCUCUCACUUCCUACACUUGAUUAUUGCCAUUUUCUUCUUGUUAAUCUUCCUGUUUCUACUCUUAAUUCCCUCCAUCUUAGGUGCUUCUGCUUGUUUAAAGGUUUCUGCUCAUUGUUCAAGCUUGCAGUUUAAUAGGUUUCCACCCUGCCUUUCAAAUAAAAAUUACCAGGGUGGCUGACAUACAUUAAAAAUGCAAUACAAUAUAUGAGCAACAUAGCAGAGAAAAAUUAGAUGGCAGACAUUGGUCUUUUGUACCACGCUGUCGGUGGACUUCCCCUCUCUUCCUUUUUUUAAUUUCAGUUAUGUACAUGGUCUUGCACCUCUAUGUCUAUUUAUGUUGUUUUUGCUGUGUGCUCCUCCCUAUACCCUUCAUUCUACAGGCACUAAAUUUAAGAUUGCCUUCCCCCUGCUCCCACCAUAUGACUAGAAUGCCCUUCAGCCUGACCUACCUCUGUUUUUACAUUCAAGUAAAGUGUUAAAACAGCUUGACCCCCCUCUUUCCUUGUGCGUUGGCAUAUUUAUUUAUCAUAUUUGUAUGAUAAAAAAAUCGAAGACAAGAUGGCUUACAAAUCAAAAUAUGAACCGCAACUGAAAUUAAAAGAGCAUUCCGAACAAAAAACACACAAAACAAACUAAAAAGCCAGCCACAGAAUCAGCAUUGUAGAAACAUCACCAUAAAAUAGCUUUGUUAGUUUUCUUACAGUUUUGUGCAGCACUUUGCGUCGUGUAAGCCCCACUGAUAAACAAAACAAUACUACUGGGGGAAGUGGAAAGAGAGGCACCUGCCUGUGUCAUCUCAAUUGUCCAGUCAUUCAUCUCCAGGGGAAACACAUGUCUAGGUAUUUGCUGUUUGCUCGUGUCCAACCAGAGAGUCACUUGCAGUCACUUGCAGGACACUUGCAGUCAAUUUCAGGACUUUCACAUGACUAACACUGCAAAACAAAUUUUGUUUUCCUAAUGUUGAGUUCGCUUAGAUCGUUGCACGCUCCAAGCUGUCUUCCCUCUUUGUUUGACUCUGCUUGAUCUUGAUCAUCUACCAGUUUUGCCACGGAAAAACAUUUCCUGUGGAGGAGGAAUCUGGCAUAUGUGAAGAGGGAAACUCUUAUGGCACCUAGUCAUUGUUUGCAUCCUCCUACCUACAAAGCCACCCAUGUGUGGAUGAGCAAGCCUCUGUUAGCCGAGCUUCAUCAGCUCCAUCUUCGCUGUCUAAGAAUACAGAUUGACAAAAUAGCCCUGUUACAGGUUCCUCAAAGUUACCUAACGUGCAAUUAUUAUUUUUUUAACUCGCCUACUUUUUACCCAUAAGAAGGGACCUUACUAAAGCAGACUACUAAAAAGAUGUUGCAGAUAGGCUAGAAACAUGAUAGGCUGGUGGCCUGAGGCAUGAAAUGCUGUCUGCCGCCUCUGAUCGUUUGCUUAAUUUCUAUGCCAAAUAUGCAGGACAGGACGUCACACCCAGAAACGCAAUGGGCUGGCUCCAGAGUCACAGAUUGCUCCAUUCCUCUGCAGUCAAGCUGGGGGAAAGGGGCUUCCCUUCUUUUCUAUCCAGGUUGGAAGCCAAGCAGGUUGGCAAAAGAGGAACAAAGUACAGUCGUAUCUCGGAAGUCAAACGCCUUGCGACUCAAACGUUUUGGUUCCCAAGCGCUGUAAACCUGGAAGUGAGUGUUGUGGUUUGCUGAACGUUCUUUGGAACCCGAAUGUCUGACAUGGCUUCUGCAGCCAAUCGGAAGCCGGACCUUGGUUUCUGAACAUUUGGGAAGUCGAACGGACUUUUGGAAUGGAUCUUGUUCGACUUCCAAGGUACCACUGUACUCUGCUUCAUGUUCAUGAGCCUGCUUGGCUAUUGGCAAAACCUAUUGGUGUUUCACAACUUUCUGUCUAGUUGCAGAACCUUAGCCAGACCUAGCAGAGUAAACGCAGAAUCCACAGAAGCAAUUGGCGACUUGCCUGCAGACAGGAUAGACGAAGCAGGAGCCAGGAACUUGUAGUUAGGUGUUUAUUGUAUACAGUGGACUAUUUACAGGAACAGAACACAGAUCUUUAGCUUGCUCUCUCAUACACGACCCACAACUCCUACACUGACACACGGAACUCUGAACACUGAACUCCUGAACUACGAACUCACCAACUAACACAUUCCAGUUAGUAGGCCAUUAAUUAUCACUCCCUUGAGAGAGCAUGACCAAUCAGGGAGCUGUCUCCAUGCCUCUGUUAUCACCAGGCAGACUUACUCCUUCAGAUUGCCUUCUGGCUGUCUGCCAAACCUUAAUUGACUCUGUGUGAGUAGCUGCACGUACACAGAUUCCCAACAUUGGCUUCCCUCCUGGCUGUAGAGGGAAGGAAGACCCUUCCUCUGUGGCUAGGAUGGAAACUGAGUGGGUUGAUAAAGGAGAGACCCAUUGUUCUAUGUCUCCUUUUGGCAGCGCUCACGCUUGCCUGGAGGGAAUUCCAUGCUCUUAUAUGCCCCCUGUAAAUCUCCAUUGUGCUUUCAGUUUCAUCUGUAUGAUAGGUUGUUUUUUUUUAAAAAAAGAAAAGUCUUGUAGAGGUUACUUUCAGUGAGACCUGUGGUCCCUUCUAACGCUACAAUUCUAUGAUUUGCAUGUAUGCAUGAUUUCUUUUUGAAUGGUCUUUAUGUAGCCUGGAACUAUGGCACAGGUAGAGGUGGUGGUGUUAACCUUUUACACCUGUGUCAUAGCCCUGAUGAAAAUCCCUCCCAGCUGAAAGUGCUACUGAUGAUAGGAGGUUCUCUGAUCAAGCAAAUAGCUCCCAGAUCAGGGUACUGAUCUUUCUUGGCCUGAUGGGUAAGUGCUGCUGCCCCCCUCCCCAAUGCCAUGCUGCUCUUCUGGAUUGAAGAGCACACACCCCACAUGUGAGAAGAUCAGUUUAAGAUAGUUUGGCCAUAGGCCAUCUUGUAGACUUGGAGAUUACAGUCAUACCUCCGGUUGCGCACGUGAUCUGUGCGGGAGGCACGUUCGCAACCUGCAGUGUUCGUAGCCUGAAGUGCCGCAUCUGCACACGUGCAUGACGCGAUUUGGCGUUCUGCGCAUGUGCGUGAUGUCAUUUUGUGCUUCUGUGCGAGCGCCGAAACCCAGAAAUAACCCGUUCCAGUACUUCCGGGUUUGGCGUGGUCCGCAACCCGAAAACAUGCAACCCACAUAGCUUCGUAACCCGAGGUAUGACUGUAUAAGUAUUUUAAAUAAAUUUCCCAUUGAAGCCAUGUUUUUCUUCUUCUCUCCUUUUCUCUUGUACAUGAGAACUGGAUCUUCUGCUUUUGAAAAGUGAAAUUCCAGAUCUGUGACCGCAUUGAGGAUGCCCAACAGCAAUUGGACUUGUAGAGAAAUAGCUCAAAACAUGUUUGCCAGGGCAUGCCAACAGGCUGCAGUUUGCCACACACGUCACAGAUAUAUUGUGCAUUUAAUAUAUAAGCAUGCUGAGCAAUGGAAGAAGGCAUAUAGUACUUUCCAAAUGUAUAUCACGCAUUCUUCUGAGUGAAAAUUCCAGUGUGUAUUUUUGGAUAGGGAGAAUUGUUGAAAAUAAAGCAAUAGGUGACUGAAUGUGUUCUGUAUUCUGCAUCUCUAAGGGCGGCUAGGAAAGAGUUAUCCUCUUAAGUGUUCGCGGCUGAAGGUUAUAAUGUAGACCUAUGGUGUAGUAUUUAAUAAAUUGUACUGAUCAGCUGUUUACAUCAAAUUACCCUUGCUGUGAACAGAUGCAUGGUACGAAUGUUGUAUUCGGUACAAGAGUUUGCUUCUAUCAAAACAUAAUGGAAACAAAACCUGUGAGAUUAACUGGCACAGUUGGAGCAAAUGUGUUUUUCCAAGUAAAUCUUAUUGGCAUUACUUGCCUGUUUAUUUUACAGAGUAUGUUUCAGAUAUCCUUACAUUGCAUUUGUGCGUUGUUAGGAAAUAAUAAUAAUUCCGAGAUGGGAGAUUUGCUUGUUUGAAAUGGCUUUUCUUGGAAAUCUCUCCUAUUGUUGCAAGAGUUUGUUUGCAGUGAAAGAUACAAAUUUCUAAUUGGGGGGAAUAAGGUUUGGAUUUUAUUGAUGAUAAUGUUUAUCUUUACUUGCCAAGAGAAUGUGGAAGGUUUAAUUGCCCUGUGCAGCUGGGGGGUGGCGGUGGAAAAGAACUCCCAUAGCAGAUGCAAGGAAGAUGCCUGACGUCAUGACCCACUAGGGAACUGUUUGGAGUGAAAAGCACUUGAUAUCGCUGGAGAAAACCUAUGGAAUCUGCCACUCAUGUUGGCAUUACCAUUCCUGCAAUCCUUGGGCUUGCGGGAGGAUUCUUCUAACACUUGUCACAGUUUGAUUUUGAACCUAGAUAUGAAGCUAAUAGUUUCUAACGGUUUUUCAAGUGCCACUGAAUCAAAUUACUGAAGUAGAAAGGAACGGUUGACAUUCUGCUUUAAAGUGACCGUAAGUUUGACCCAGUUCUACUGCAGUGGUGUCAUCACAAUUGUAUCUCAUUGCUGUAGGUUCUCGGAUGCUGACAGGCGGAACAAGUUGCUUUAGCUCGCAGUGCUCAGCUGUCAUACAGAACAGCUUGCAGAUCCUUACGUGAAUGAAAUGUGCAGGGAGUUCCUCUCUCUCUCUCUCUCUCUCUCUCUCUCUCUCUAUUUCUGUCUCCCUGGUGCUCACUUUCUAGGCUACCAGUGAAACUGUAUGUGCAUGGAAGGAAAAAUAGGCAGAAGGAGGAAGAAGAAGAAGAAAAAGAAGUGCAUUUGAGAAAUUUUGUUUUGGCUUCAGGGAUGCAAGUGUGUGCCUUUCUCCAGUAAGCUCGACAUUUUGUGAGGUUUAAUGAAGAAGGCUCAGAGGUACCCAGGAAGCUCAUUUGGGGAGAAGGACCUUGAUUAUUUUUACACUGUCUGAGCAGACAGAUGAGACGCUGUCACCUUUUGUCUUGCUCUUGUUAGCGUCUCACACAGUUGAACAGAGGCCAAGGAUGCUGACUUCUCAUAUUUAUUGAAUGAUUGCCACAUACUUGAAACGAGGACAGCAGAGAUUCCCACACACCAUGACACUAAGUCAUAAAUAGAUAGGAACAAAAUAACUAGGCAAUUAUAUAUAUAUACACAUAUAUAUAUAAUCUUUUUUAUUGAUUUUCAAAAAUAUAAACAUACAAAAUAAAACAGUACAAAAUCCAAAUAUCGAGAUUACUCUGAAUCUCCUGAUUCCCCUCCAUCCCUCCCAUGGGUCCUUUUGAUUCUAUUUUAAACUGCAUAUCAGUACUUCUCCAAUUUUUCAUCUUCCUAAGUUAUCUAAACGUUCUGUUACAUUAGAAGUGUAUUUAAAGUAGGCAAUUUUUUCAAAGUGGCAGGAUCAAAUGCCAAUUAUGGAAUGAAGCAAAAUUAGAACCUGUUGUUCCAAAAUUUGAAUUCAUCCAGAUUGCAUUAUUUGGAAGCAUUAUUGAUUUUUUUUUACAGAAUAUAUAUUUUUAAGGAACAGCGAUGAAAGCACAGUGAAUAAAUUAAAAAAGAACAACUUAGUAAUAUUUAAAAAACAAACAAAACAACCCAAGCAAAAUCAAACCACAAAGUGGUGGAUAAAAUCCAGAGAGGUUAGGGGCACAGUGCUGGCUUGUCUUUGUAGGAGUGCAGGUUGUAUUCUACUGCUAGAGGCCAAGGUGGCAUACAUGCCCUGUGCGGUUCUGUCUGCAAGCUCUUAGCCUAUCUACACAGUAAGAGAGAAUCGAAGAGGCUAAGGCAGAAUAAAUGCGAAGGGGAGAAGGCAGGCAGAGAAAAGGAAUGGGGAACAGAAUGGGUGUACAGCUUAAGUUUCAGGACUAAAUUAGGGCCAUUAUUUUAGGGAGUAAAAACUUGGAUGAGUGCCACCUACAGACUGUAGUAACAUUUUGUUUCCUAUGAUUUAUCUUGAACUGCAAAUUACAGUAGCAUUUACAAGGCUGAGAUUCUUGAGACUUGUAACUAUAGAGCCCUUGAAGGAUUCCAUCCUUGAAUGGUAAAACCACUUAAGAUUGCAAACCACAUUUUGGAGAGCCCCAAAAUGCACCAACUUGGAUUGCAAAGACCAAUCUGUGUUUAUCCAUUGUAGUCUAGGUCCUGAUAAUGGCAAACACAGUUGUUAGGGAUCUCCCAAGAACCCUCAGCACCCUUAGCAAACUGCAGUUCCCAGGAUUUUUAAAAAGUGGUAUGAUACUGCUGUAAAUGUAUAGUGUGGAUGAGGUCUUUGUUUCUCUGUCCUCCUCCUCAUCCAGCUGCUCUGUUCUUUCCCUUUCCACUCAGUUUCCUCCCUCUGUUAGUUUUCCGAAUUUCAUGCUACUGAAUUAUGAAGCUGCUCCUCCCCACGCUUUAGGUUUCUUUUUUCUUUGGUUUUGUUCUUGUGCAUUUUUUAAAGGUACAUAGAUUAUGAAAUGGUACCAAGGUCACAUUCUGCUGAACAAGCACGAUUGUGAACGAGAUUGCAGGUGGAUGGGUAAGAAGCAAGAUCAUUGAGGCCCAGGCUGGAAGCAUUGCAGGUGGAUUGUACUGUAAGUUACAUGGAAGCACUAUGCUCCUGCUAUCCUUAUGAAGCCAAUUGUCUUUUGUAAGCUCCUUUGGCUUGGGAAGGUUGUAUGCUGAAAGCUCACAAGUGCUUUAAAGGAACAUAAUAAAAAAUGUGUAAUCAUUUUUAAAGCAGGAAGAGAUGUACACAACAAUAACUUCAGGAAAUUCUUAGAGGUACUUUGAAAAUUAAAUUUCUGUAAACACAAUUAAUAGUUGUGCCUUCACAGAGGAGGCGGCGCUUUAGCAUCCUCUGACACUUCUGGGCGGAGUGUGCGCAGGUUCAUUUCUAGCUGUGUGGUGUGUGUGUGUUUUAAGAAAAAAGCGGGGGGGGGGGGGGGCUCUAGUAGUCAUUCAAGUCAUGACUUUGUUAGAGUAUGAGAAGCCUUUAAAAUCACUUAGUAGAAUAAAACUCCCAAGUACUGUAACUGUCAGAUUGCUUUAUCUAAUUUAUGGAAUGGAGGCAAAGGAAUAAACAAUAACACUCCAUUUAGAGUUAUUAGAUUAGCCGUUAUAGAAACCACAGAAAGUACAUAAGCCUUUACUUUAUGUUCACUUGAAUUUGGCUAUUAAGCUUUGAUGGAACUUUCAUUUAACCAAAUGCCUUUGUUUACAACAAUAAACUGGUUAACUCUGAUUUCCCUCCUAAAUUAAAUAUGGCAACAUCAAUAUUUGCCUACCUCAUUGGCCCUUAAGUUUGUGCAAUCAGUUCAAUUAGGGGGGUCUGAUUCUGCAGAGAUUUAUGCCUGCGUUGUUUACCACUAAGAAGGCUUCUUGCCCAUGAGAACUGCACAAUAGGUGCCACCCAAAUCUUCAGCCUGCUGUUGAUUUGCAUCUUCUCUUCUUGUACUAUCUAGCUCGGAGGUGGGAAACCUGGCUGUGAUGGGAAGAUGAGCUGCUUGUGCGUAAAAUCGUAUUCCCUCAGAGUUUGUUCAAGUCCACAAACCUCUGUCUGUGACUGAGCCCCUCUGACAUGGCUCCUCUAGUCACUAGAAGAUUCCGACAGUGGUUGCUUUCGUAAUCGCUUCCAACAUAAAAGCUCCUUAACGGAAACACGUCUUCUGGACUCUCUGCGUGACAGUUUCCGGCGAGGAGUGGGUGUCCCUACAGGAGGUCCGGAAACCUCACCACUGUUUUCGCUGGAAGUAUCUCUGAGCCAUCCCCCCAGCUCCCUUUCCCUCAGUUCAGCUUCUCUCCCCCUGCUGGUUUCCUCUUCAGCUGCUGAGUCUCUUCCAACCUGUCUGAGCCCUUUCACCUCCCUCAGUUCAGCUUCUCUCCCUUGCUGGUUCCCUCUUCAGCUGCUGAGUCUCUUCCAACCUGUCUGAGUCCUUUCACCUCCCUGCCUUCCGAUGGCAGUUCCCUGACAUCCACCUCCCCUCCAGGGCCCCCUUCACCCCUCUCGCCCCCUCCUCUACGGGCGGUGAGGAGGCAAAACCCCGGAAUGAACUUCCUUCAUCUUCCGAUGUCUCGAACACUUCUCUCCACCUGUUGCGGUUCCUGGUCUCGAAGCACUCCUCCUCCUCCGAGUCCAUCUCCCCUUCCCCUUCCGAUUCUGGGAAUCCUUCCAACUCCUCCUCCUCCUCAGUGGUCCCAAAGUAUUCCCUCCGGAACCUCUCCACAGGCUGAGGUUUCCUCGGGAACCUUUGAUGGAACGUUUCUAUCAAUACCUCGUCAUUGAUAUCUUCGGCCAUUACCCACGUGUUUUCUGACUCCGGUUCUCCUUCCCACGCUACCAAAUACUCCACCUGAUUCCCCUUCCACCUGGCAUCAAGGAUUUCUGCCACAUGACUGCUGCAUUCUCUUUCUUCUAUGACCGGUCCCCGAGUGGCCAUCCCUUCUCGUCCCCUCGUACGGUGACAGUAACGACCUGUGAAAUACUGGGUGCAGUUUCAUGUGGUUGGGUAACCGGAGCCUGAAAGCCACUGGGUUGACCUGUUGAAUGACCUCAAAGGGACCCAACCUCCUGGGUCUUAAUUUCUUACAACCUCCUUUGAACGGCACCCCUCGGGUUGACAGCCACACCCUAUCUCCAACCCUUAUGGUUUCACCUUCCCUUCGGUUCUUGUCUGCCUGCCUCUUGUAUUCUUCCUUCGCCCUUUCUAAGUUGAGUUGGAGCUGACGGUGGAUUGCUUCCAUUUCUUCUACAAAAUGCUCGGCUGCCGGUACGCUCCAUCUCUCCCCUUCUCCCCUGGGAAAGCCCUGGGAUGACACCCAUAAUUAGCCAAGAAGGGGCUCAUCCCUGUGGACACAUUCUCGGCAUUGUUGUAGGCAAAUUCCGCCAGCGCCAACUUUUCUACCCAGUCAUUCUCUCUGUCAUUGACAUAACACCUCAGGUAUUGCUGGAGGACACCGUUUGCUCUUUCCGCCUGCCCGUUGGUUUCAGGGUGCCGGGCAGUCGAACAGUUGACCUCCACCUGCAGUAAGCUCAUGAGCUUCCUCCAGAACCUGGAAGUAAAUUGUUUUCCUCGGUCUGAGACCACCCUCAAUGGCACCCCGUGCAACCUAAAAAUGUGUUCUACAAAUAACUUCGCUGUCUCUUCCGCCGUGACUGCAUGCGAGCAAGCUACAAAGUGGCACAUCUUUGUUAGUAGGUCUACCACCACCAUGAUGGCUGUUUUCCCUUUGGACUUCGGCAGAUCAGUCAUAAAAUCUAUCGACACUGCCUCCCAAGGUCGUUCUGGUGUAGGUAAGGGUUCUAAUAGCCCCGCCGGCGCCCGCCUUUCCCCUUGGGCUCGCUGGCACUGCUCGCACCCUCUUACAUACUCACGUACAUCCUCCCUCACCUUAGGCCACCAAAAUUCCCUGGUGACCAACCACAUGGUUUUGUGUUGCCCAAAAUGCCCCGCCGUGGGGCUGUCAUGCAACUGCUUGAGUACCCUCCCCCUUAAGUCUCCUUCAGGGAUAUACAGUGCCCCUUUGUAAUACAAAGCUCCAUUUCUUUCCUCGAAACCCCUUGAUUCCUCUCCCUCAUCCCUAAGACCUCUGAGCUUAUUCUGGGCGUAUUCAUCAUUCUCUGUUUCUUCUACCAGUUCUCUUUGUCCCACCAAUGCCGCCCCACACACCCAGCGGUCCUCUGGAAUGACAUGUCUCUCUUCAGGUGCUCCCUCCCCUCCAAAUAUUCAGGUUUGCGUGAGAGAGCGUCCGCCCUAAUGUUCUCUGGGCCUGGCACGUAACAAAUCUCAAAGUUAAAUUUGGAGAAUUCCUGGGCCCAUCUCACUUGCCGUUGGUUGAGCACUCGUGCCGUCCUCCAAUACUCUAGGUUCUUGUGGUCAGUGCACACUUGCACCUUAUGUUGUGCGCCAAUUAGCAGGUGCCUCCAUCUCCGGAACGCCUCAUGAAUGGCUAGUAGUUCUCGGUCAUACACCGUGUAGUUCCUCUCGGAUUUGUUCAGCUUUCGCGAAAAAAAGCACACGGUCUCCACUCUGACUCCUCCUUCCCUGGCUGGAGAAGCACCGCCCCAACCGCUCUGUCUGAUGCGUCAGUUUCCACUCUCAUCGGUUUUUGUAAAUCCACAUGCAGGAGCUGUUGUUCCGAGGCGAAGGCCCUUUUAGUUCCUCAAAUGCUUGCUCCGCCUCCUCCGUCCAAACGAACUUCUUCUUACUGCUGAGACAGUCCGUAAUGGGCGCCGUCAGGUGGGCAAAGUUUGGGAUGAACUUACGAUAGAAGUUCCCAAAUCCUAAAAACCUCUGCACAUCCUUCCUUGUUUUGGGUGUUUUCCAUUCCAGUACCGCCUGGACCUUGCCGGGAUCCAUGGCCAACCCCUUGUCAGACAGGCGAUACCCCAGGAAUUCCACCUCCUUGGUAUGAAACUGACACUUCUCCAGUUUCACCCACAGCUGGUUGGCUUGCAGCCUGCUCAACACUUCUCUGACGUCUCUCACAUGCUGCUCCUCAUUCUCAGAAUACACCAACACGUCGUCUAAGAAGGCCACACAAUUCUUGUAAAGCAACGGCCCCAGGACGUGGUUCAUAAACGAUUGAAAUGUUGCGGAGCCUGCUUGUAGACCGAAGGGCAUAACUAAGUAUUCAAAUGCCCCUAAAGGGGUGAACAUGGUGGUUUUCCAUUCAUCCCCCUUCCUUAUUCGUAUCAGGUUGUACGCCCCCCUUAGAUCCAGCUUGGUGAAAAUCUUUCCCUUCCGCACCCUUGUCAAAAUGUCGUCAAUCCUGGGCAUCGGGAAGGCCACUGGUUCUGACACUGCAUUUAAGGCCCUGAAGUCACACACCAGUCUCGGCUUGUUCGUGUUUUUGUCCACAAAAACACUGGGCUGCCCCACCGCCCUGGACUCUCUGAUGAACCCUCUCUUCAGGUUCUUGUCAAUGAACUCUCUUAGCUCCUGCAUCUCUCUGUCUGACAUGGCGUACAGCUUGCCCACAGGGAGCUGUGCCCCAGGGAGCAAAUUGAUUUGACAGUCAAAGGCUCUAUGCGGUGGUAGUUGAUCAGCUUCCCUUUCGCUGAAGACGUCGCGGAGAUCUGCGUAUUGUCGUGGUACCUUCACGUUCUCCGUUACUUCAGUCCCUGCUAGGGUGGCUUGGACCCCUGCCAAAACCUUUCCCUCUUUGCAGUGUUCUAAGCAAUGUGCUGACCCAAAAGAAACCACUCUUUGAUGCCAGCCCACCAGCGGAUCAUGUAACGCUAGCCAGCUCAUCCCCAAUAUAAUGGGAGCUCCUCCCAAGGUGGCCACAUUAAACGCUAUUAGUUCGGUGUGCCUUGCCACCUUCAUUAUCAUUGGGACGGUCUGCAAGCUGACUUCUCCUCCCAACAGCUCCCUGCCAUCGAUCGUGGUUACCUGCAGGGGUUGCUUAAAGGGAGCGUCUGUAUCUGGUGUUCAGCUGCAAACUCUUUGCUCAUGAAAUUGCAGGAGCUGCCUGAGUCCAACAGCGCCUUUAUCUUUAGAGGGUGUCCGUUUGGCAGCUCUAGUGUCACUUCUAUCACUAGGGCGGGUUUAGGAGGUUCUGGCGUGGGCACUUUCACUGCUCUUUGGCCUGGCUGCUGUGCCCUGACAAUGGCAGCCAGGCGUUGGCUUUUAGUUGCUCCGGUAUUUUUUCCUCUCUUCCCUCCACAGCUCCCACCAUCCCUUGCCAUUCCUUCCUCUGGGGGCAGACUCUGGCAAAGUGCCCUGGCUGUUGGCAGAGAUAGCAUUUCCGGGCGCCUUUUCCCUCCUUCUUUCCACCCUCACUGGGCUUUGAAACUGCGCGCGCGCGCUGUUCCGAUUUCCAUCGGCUCUGCCGGCGGGAAAGUUGGCUCUGGAAUGUCUGGAAUGCGGAACUCCUUCCAACGUUCCCCUGUCCCUUCCCGCCUCUCCAAUGCUCUCGCCUCCUGGCGCGCUCCUAUGGCCAGCGCUGAUUUGGUCAGCUGGUCCAUAGACUCCGCCCUGGGCGCCCGGGAAAGUUCAUCUUUCACAGCCGAAGAAAGCCCUUCUUCAAAGAGCAUUUGAAUGGGUUCCGCCGAUAAGUCCCACCCCAAUCUGUGUAUCAGCAUGGUGAACUCAGUCCAGUACUCACGUACAGAUCGGCUCCCUGUUUGCAAGCCAUUAACUGUCUGCGCACCACUCCCUUUUCAAUAUCGCUGGAAAACAUCAGAUCCAUGGCGCGAAAGAACUUCAUCGUGUCCUUUAGGACGUCACUAUGCGCUGCCAUCAGGGGUCUAACCCAGUCUCUCGCCCCCUUUUCAAGAUGCCCAAUCACAAAAGCCACUCGUGAUUCCUCAUCAGGGAAAUCAUCAAACUGCAGAUUGAGGGCAUAUUGCAUUUCUGUCCGAAAGCUAUGAUAGUCUUUGGGCUCCCCCCCAAAUUUCUGCACCAAUCCUGGUACCUUUCUGGCGAGCUGGGUGGCUUUCUCCCUUUGUCUGCAUCUUGAGCCCUCCUCUCCUCCAGCCUCGCCGUCUGCAGCGCCAGCUGGACCUCCAACACCCGGUACCUUUCUUCCAGGCUUGGACCCGCUCCAGCCCCUGCUUCUCCGGUUCCUGCUGGGUUGCUCAUUAUGCCUUCUCCUGCACAAGCUGCGUUCAAAGACUGUCGGAAUGCUGUGAUGGGAAGAUGAGCUGCUUGUGCGUAAAAUCGUAUUCCCUCAGAGUUUGUUCAAGUCCACAAACCUCUGUCUGUGACUGAGCCCCUCUGACAUGGCUCCUCUAGUCACUAGAAGAUUCCGACAGUGGUUGCUUUCGUAAUCGCUUCCAACAUAAAAGCUCCUUAACGGAAACACGUCUUCUGGACUCUCUGCGUGACAGUUUCCGGCGAGGAGUGGGUGUCCCUACAGGAGGUCCGGAAACCUCACCACUGUUUUCGCUGGAAGUAUCUCUGAGCCAUCCCCCAGCUCCCUUUCCCUCAGUUCAGCUUCUCUCCCCUGCUGGUUUCCUCUUCAGCUGCUGAGUCUCUUCCAACCUGUCUGAGCCCUUUCACCUCCCUCAGUUCAGCUUCUCUCCCCUUGCUGGUUCCCUCUUCAGCUGCUGAGUCUCUUCCAACCUGUCUGAGUCCUUUCACCUCCCUGCCUUCCGAUGGCAGUUCCCUGACACUGGCGCUCCCAAGGUGCAUUUGGACUCCCAAGUCCCCAUUAGGCCCAGCGACCGUGGUCAAAAGUCAAAGGUGACAAGAGCUGCUGGAAACUCCCCAUCCCUGAUCUCGCACAAGGCACUCCAGGCAGUUCAUCAUUUAAUAUAGUGAUACAGACAGUGCAACAGGCAAUACAAAUGGAAAAUAGGGUGAUAAGGAAAGAGAAAAAUAAGCUUUGUUAGAGAGUUCUGGGAAGGAAGGCACUGAAUGGCAGCUAGCCGAAGCCGAGCCCUUUAAAUGCCACUAAAUGGAAUGGCGUGGAAAUAAAAAAUCCGACAUAGGGCUGUGGUUGCGGCACCAACAAUGCCUGCAUACACACCAAACAUUUUAGGCACUCCCUGAAAGAAUCCUGGAAACUGUAGUUUACCCGUAACAGAGCUACAAUUCCCAGCACCCUUAACAAAUGACAGUGUCCAGGGUUCUGGUCUCUCUCUGUGUGCUUUAAACGUAUUGUUUGUAUGCAGCCCCCAUGCUUAUUUUUCAGUGGAAUGUUGUUAUACCCGAAAUUAAAACAGAAACAACUUGUUGUCUUUGAAAAUGAAGUUACAGCUUGAUACUUGGUGAGAGGAACUGAGACCAAGCUGGUUUCAGACAACCGCAAGUGCUCUCACAUGUAUGAACGGGUCUGGUGCUUUGGCUUUGACUGGCAAACUUGCACAAUGCUGUAGUGUAGAGGGAUUCAUGGAGAAACAAAAGAUGAUACUGAUUGGUUUAUGUUUAUUUGGAUGAGGUUGGAUGGCCAUCUCUCACAGAUGAUUUAGUUGAGAUUCCAUCACAGGGGGGUAGACUAGAUGACACCUCAGGGACCCUUCCAAUUCUACGAUUCUUUUUCUUUUAUUAACUGUCGCCUGGAGGAACCUAGACCCCCUGUAACUCAUACGUCUUUUUGGCUUAGUAAUUUAACUUAACAUGCUUCUAUUAUUUUCUGCCUUACACACGUCAUGACUGUGUUUUGCAUGACUGUAUCCAGUGGCCAAAACCCAUUAUUUGUUGUUUGCAUUGUUUCACGUUAUUCUGAAUAAAAAUUAUAUUAUAAAAAAGGGAAGAAAAUGAAGUUAAAUUACUUUAACCCAGACUUGGCUGAGAUGCUCUGGCUGCUUAAUAUUCAGAGUAAAUCUGUUUUUAUCUAGCUGCAUUCAUCUUCGAAUCUGAAGGGCUUUGUGCAUGCUUCCAUAAUCAAAUAGAACAAUAAGUCUGUGCGAAGGAGAGUGAAUACGCUACAGAAUGCAGGUAAAUGCUCAUAGAUAUUUUGAUUUGAGACUUGGCCAGCACAUCAGAGGAUGCUCCAGUGAAAGGCAUUCAAAUUUUUAUCUUAACGGGAAGCAGAUGAGACACGGCUCAAAUUGAAUAUGCCACCCCUACUAAACUUGUAUACAGCACUGCCACCAGCUGUCUUCAAAACACACAUUAAUUCCGUAUUGCUGUGGAGCCCGCAAAUACGGCUGUAGCAGAGUUAUUUGUUAUGAGAACUUGCUGGUGUGCAAACUCUACAGUACUCCAGAGUUUAAAUCUUUUGCAUGUAUAUUGAAGUUCCAGAGUUUAGCACAGAGUUUAGGGGCAUAUUUUGAGUGCUUAGUGCUCCUGCAGGUCAUGGAGCUAGCCUAAGGCUGCGCUUGAGGAUUUUCAGUGUUCUCCUGGCUUUAGAAAAAUAGUGAAAUCUACAUUAUUUCCCUUACUUCACAUGUCGGUGAUUCUUCCUCUUUCCACUUUAGACAACCUUUGACUGGAAACUGGCAUAAAAAGCCACCAAGUCACUCAUUCCCCUCAUUUUUCUCUAGAUGUAAUAUGCUACAAAUAUUAUCCCACACCUUUUGUUCUUCCCUUCCCUGACUCAGUUUAGAUAAGAGACCAAACCAGGAUUUGCCCAAACCAUAGUUAAGGGCCCACAUCAGGGGUCAGCAAACUUUUUCAGCAGGGGGCCGGUCCACUGUCCCUCAGACCUUGUGGGGGGUCGGACUAUUUUUUGGGGGGGGAGGGGGAAUGAACGAAUUCCUAUGCCCCACAAAUAACCCAGAGAUGCAUUUUAAAUAAAAGGACACAUUCUACUCAUGUAAAAACACACUGAUUCCCAGACCGUCCACGGGCUGGAUUUAGAAGGCGAUUGGGCCAGAUCCAGUCCCCGGGCCUUAGUUUGCCUACCCAUGGCUCACAUUGUUGACUUGAGCUUUCAAAUGUAGAGCAACCAAACAAUGCUUUGUUCCUUGUUGUCUCUCUUUAUUUUCUAUCUGUUCAUCAUUGAGCCACAAGUCCUGGUUGUGGGUUUCUGAUGGGGCUGUCUGGUUGGCAAGAUGCUGGAAUAGAUGCAAAGGGCAUUUCAUCCUCACUGGCUGCCGCACUGCCACAACAGUGUUGUGGGAACAGAGUGAGAGAGAUGGGGUGGGGGGAUGACGACAAAUUUUAGCAUUGCCCAGGGUGCCUCUGAGAUUUGAGAUCUGCCACUGGUAGAUGGGUCACUGGUCUGAUCCAGCAGACUUGGGUUACCUGAAAGAUUAGAAACCUGCCCAGGCACUAAGAAGGAUGAGCACCUUCUCUCUGUUCCCUAAACAUCAAAGGCAUCGUUGGUAGUGACACGAGAGACGGUCCUUUCUGUGUCUGCUUCCAUACUGUAGAAUUCCUUCCCAAGAGAGGUUAGAUUGGCUAAGACCUUUGCCAUCAGGCAGGCUUUGGGAAACCAGGUGCAGGCAAUGUUGACCACUGGACUGCUAUCACGGCAUUAGGCAUUUCAAUGCUGGCCGCAACCCCAGAGUUGUUCGUGACUGGACUUAACUGUCAGGGAUCCUUUACCUUUACCUUUUACUAACUAGUUUGGUUUUACUACUUUGAAAGAAAGGCGGUAUAUAAGCAUUAAAUGAAAAUGAAUAAAGAAAUAAAUAACUGUGGCUUCUGACGUAACAGCAAACCACAGCUGGCCCAAAUUGCUGUUUGCAAACCGGCUUCAAAUCCAGGUUUGUCAACUGCUCAAAAACAAACCAUGGCUUGUGAAGCUAGCAGGUUCAGGCAUGCAAACCAUUUUAUAGUCCAACAUCUGAAUAAAGGCAGAUGUGAUUAAGUAAUUGUUUGCUUGCUCCUCUGGCCUUCAGAUGUUCAGAUGCAUAAGUAAUUCAUGGCUACUAUGCAGACUGCUAAGAAUGUUUCUCCCUUGUGCCUGUCGCUGGUACUUGGUGCGGUGAAAUCAGUAAAGUCCUUUGAUUUCAGUGGGUCUACUCAGAGUACUAUCACCCAGACAUUUUACAGCUCCCACUUUUGUUACUUUAGAGCGGUGGCUUCAUUUUGCAAAGCUGAACAGCUGAUUAUGAUGCAAUGGUAAGAGUGAGAGAAGCUUAAGCAAAAAAGAAGCCUGUCUCUGCCUUGAGAUAGGAAGAAGGAGAGGCAGGGGUAACACUCCAGCUUUGGCUGUUCCUUGAAAAGUUGGAUCUGGCCAUGGUGACACAUGCUUUGGUUAACAUCUGGCAGUGAAGCUGUUGCAUGGGCAGUGGCUGUGCAUGACUUAUACAUAUGUGGAAUAUUGGCACAAAUCUAUAUAGGCAUGGGCCUUUUCUCCAAACUUCCACCUGCCUAUGUCUCAUCUUCAGUAUUGUCUGUCACUCUGAUGAUGGGAUGAAAGAGUUGGAAAGUAGCAGUGAAUGUUUCAAGUCCCCUUGUUUAGCACUAUAAGCGUACAGCUUAUAGGCUUUGGGUUUUACUUUCCCCCCAAAACCACCAGUAGAAAGACUGAGCUCUGUUUCCCCGAAAACUCCUUCAGCUUGGACUUAGGUUAAAACGUGGCUACUAAUUUAUAGAGCAAAUGUUCCCGUUUAAUUGGCAGGCAGCUCAAUGCUUCCUCUUUUCCUCUCUUAUCCUUUUGCAGCCUUGAAACAUAGCAAAGAAGCGGAAUCCAUUGAGAAUACUCUCUAAGGUAAGUGUGUUUAUUACAUUGCAUUAGCAAACAUUGCCGUGCUGCAUUGAUUUUUCUUUUAUUCGGGGAUUUAAGUACUCGGAUUAAUGACAGAGCAGACAGGACAACUUCUUUUACCCACAUGGCUGUCCCCUCUUUGCACAAAACGCCACGCCGCAGUUAGAGGGAAAAGCGUAACAAAAUGUGCCAAUGUGCUGAGGAUGGCCAAAUUUCGGGUUGUUAGCUGACAUGCGCUUUGUUCUCGGUGGCUGAGAUAUUACCGUGUAGCCGUGCGCGCGCUAAGAUUAAUGCUACAGAAUAGAGAACAAAAGGCCCUCCAUGAACUGGUAUUGCUCUUGGUCAAUAGCGGAAUAAAGCUAGCUGGCAAAAUAAUGCAUUUAAAGUGGGCUGCUGAGUGGCGUUUUAAUCUGAUUGUGUUUAAUUUAUUGUGAUAGGCAAUAUCGGAUAGCGAACAGCUCUGCAGAAAGGAAGGGGGGGGGAGAUUAUUGCUUGCAAAGUCCUCCUGGCUUUGUAGCUGGUCAUUAAGUACAUAAAACUGAUUUGUGGAUAGAUGCUGGAGCAAAAGCUCCUUCCUCUUAUCUUAUACCACACCCCGUGGCCUUGUUCGCAUGCCAUGGUAACCCAUGGUUAAUGGCUUAAUCGGAGUGGGCCAAUUUCACCUACUUCAUGGCUCCCUUCUAGUGAGUGGGAGCAGCAAACCAUAAUACUUGGCUUAUGUUUGAACCGUGGCUUUGUUUCACCCUAGACAAUCCACGAUCUGAAAGCCAAGGCUUGGUCUUGGCUUUCUGAUUGUGCAGCUGCCUGUUACAUUGCCUGGAGCAAGUAUUUGCAUUUUAGUUUUUUGACUGCAAUGUUAUUAUCUUUGCAUCGGAAUAAACCGAACCACUUGUUCAAACUAUCUUGUGCACUCCGAAUCGGGGAGCUUCUUAGAGUUACCGCACAACAGCCCACUCAUUACAAGCAUGAGGAGUAACUUUCGUUGGAGGUGAGCUAAGAGUGGCUGUCCUGCUGCUAUACGUCUCUGCUUGGGAACACAUUGCUGGAUGUAUUUUCUAAAAUGGGAAGGAGUAAGCCACCAAAGGACAAAUAAACAAAUACUGGAGAACAGGGCCAGCUGAAGAUACUUUGUUGCCUGAGGCAGUGCAGCAAAUGGCAGCCCCUUCCCAAUCAAUGGGCGUAGUUCCAAAGGCUAGUCAAGUUACUUUGGCAUCUGAGGCAAACCCCCCACCUGAAAAAAUAUCCCAACCACCCCACAUAGACUUCUCCUCUUCUCUGAUAGAAUGUAUUCAAGUAUUUUAAAGCAACUAACAGUUUGCUUCCCAUCCAUGACAUCAAAAAUUAGUUACUUGAGGCAGCCCCCUCACUUUGUCUAACAGUAGGGCCGGCCCUGUCAGAAAUGCAGCACUAAGUUGUAUCUUUUGGGAAAUUGGGGAAAUGCAAAGCUAUCAGAGUCCUUAAAACUGUUAUGUGAUCUGCAAGACACCUCCUCUUUGUGGCAAAGGUCCUAAGAGUGGUCUAAAAUAUCCUGUAAUUUUGUAUUCAGCUUGAGCAACAGUUCUUUGUUUCUGUGGUGAGCUUAUUUCUUUUCGGUCUCCAAAGAGGUAAAUGUUAGAAUUGGGAACUGAGAUAAUUAAAGCAGCCUAAAACAUAAAUUGCAGAUUUAGAAACUGAAGAUUGUUACAUUAUGCAGUGAUAUGUGAGUUAUUAGUCUUGGAAUGCCAUCAAUUGUAAACUAGUGUGAUCAACGACUGAAAACAUUGGUUAAACAACAGAUUUAUGUAAUAGACAGGAAGCAAAUCCAUGCUAUGGUUUGUUCUGUGAGCAGUAUUUAUUUUUUCCCCCUAAGCAUAUUUGCAUUUUAUGGUUCACUAAAUUGAUUUUUUUAAACAGUUUAUAUGUAGAGUCAGACUGUUCUAUGGGCGGAAGCAAAAAAAGAACAGGUUGUAGUAUGUUGGAAAUGUUUCUAGAAAGGAAACCUUUGGAGGAAGAAACUAGCACAUCUGUACAGCAACAGCUGCUUAUGUGCUUGGGCCCAAUCCGGAGAGAUGUGCAACUAGUUCUGAACAGCCAACAUGUCUUAGGACUUCCCUGUGUGUCUCAACACGUGGCAAUUAAAGAAGUGUCAUCUUAGCACGUCUGCCCAAAGAUGUAUGAUUGUACUCUUGACUUGGCUGGAAAACUCUUGCCAAUCUAUGAAUUGAUCGCCAAUUACAUUUCCCAGACAUGUUUAAUAAUACAAUAAUAGUAAUGCAGCAAAGUGAGACUGAUUGAUCGAAUAACAAGGCUGCAAAUAGAGAUGAAGGACACCAGAGUUAAUCUCAGAUCCUCGAGCACUUAUUGAUGGGGCAAAAUAUGCGAGCAAGUGAAACGGUAUGUGGACACAGUCUGUGGAGUGUAGUCAGAACACAUGAGCUCGUCAGCUUUGAAAUUGGAUUUUGAAUUUCUUCCUUUCUGUUUAUUUUAUUAAAGCAUUUCUAUAUGUUCCUUCCCGGCUCAAUGUGAGACACUUAAGGUGGUAUGCAGCAGAUCAAAAUAGCCAAAGAUAUAAAAAUAUACCACAGUAAGGGAGCAACCCUUUUCACAAGAAGCUGGCAUGAAGCAAGCUGGUGUAAGUUAAUUGGGAGUAAAGUCACACCAGAUCCAAACCUCUUUCA
rnacentral:lncRNA from 1 species